CGGCAAGAAAGUUGACAAAUCUACGCCCACAACAAAUUGUGUUCUACUCGCGCAAGAAGAACUACGCAUAGACCUAGCUCAUGAUGCCACUGUUGGGGAACGUUGCAGAAAACAAAAAAUUUCCUACUCGUUUCACCAAGAUCAUCUAGGAGUUCAUCUAGCAACGAGUGAUUAGAUGCAUCUACAUACCUUUGUAGAUCGCGAGCGGAAGCGUUCAAAAGAACGGUGAUGAUGUAGUCGUACUCGACGUGAUCCAAAUCACCGAUGACCAGCGCCGAACGGACGGCACCUCCGCGUUCAACACACGUACGGAACAGCCACGUCUCCUCCUUCUUGAUCCAGAAAGGGAGGGAGGAGAGGUUGAGGGAGAUGGCACCAGCAGCAGCACGACGGCGUGGUGUUGAUGGAGCUGCAGUACUCCGGCAGAGCUUCGCUAAGCACUAUGGAGGUGGAGGAGGUGUUGGGGAGGGAGAAGGAGGCAACCAAAGGCCAAGGCGUUCAGGUAUGAAGUCCCUCCUCUCCCCCACUAUAUAUAGGAGGGCCAAGGGGGGUGGCCGGCCCUAGGAGAUCCAAUCUCCUAGGGGGUGCGGCGGCCAAGGGGGGUUUCCCUCCCCCCCAAGGCACCUAGGAGGUGCCUUCCCCUCCUAGGACUCUUCCCCCUUCAAACCCUAGGCGCAUGGGCCUAUGUGGGGCUGGUGCCCUUGGCCCAUUAGGCCAAGGCGCACCCCCUACAGCCCAUGUGGCCCCCCGGGACAGGUGGACCCACCCGGUGGACCCCCGGGACCCUUCCGGUGGUCCCGGUACAAUACCGAUAACCCCGAAACUUGUCCCGAUGCCCGAAACAGGACUUCCCAUAUAUAAAUCUUUACCUCCGGACCAUUCCGGAACUCCUCGUGACGUCCGGGAUCUCAUCCGGGACUCCGAACAAUAUUCGGGUUACUGCAUAUACAUAUCCCUACAACCCUAGCGUAACUGAACCUUAAGUGUGUAGACCCUACGGGUUCGGGAGACAAGCAGACAUGACCGAGACGACUCUCCGGUCAAUAACCAACAGCGGGAUCUGGAUACCCAUGUUGGCUCCCACAUGCUCCAUGAUGAUCUCAUCGGAUGAACCACGAUGUCGAGGAUUCUAUCAACCCCGUACACUAUUCCCUUUGUCUAUCGAUAUGUUACUUGCCCGAGAUUCGAUCGUCGGUAUCCCAAUACCUCGUUCAAUCUCGUUACCGGCAAGUCACUUUACUCGUACCGUAAUGCAUGAUCCCGUGACCAGACACUUGGUCACUCUGAUCUCAUUAUGAUGAUGCAUUACCGAGUGGGCCCAGUGAUACCUCUCCGUCAUACGGAGUGACAAAUCCGAGUCUUGAUCCAUGUCACCCAACACACACUUUCGGAGAUACCCGUAGUCUACCUUUAUAGUCACCCAGUUACGUUGUGACGUUUGGCAUACCCAAAGCACUCCUACGGUAUCCGGGAGUUACACGAUCUCAUGGUCUAAGGAAAAGAUACUUGACAUUGGAAAACUCUAGCCAACGAACUAUACGAUCUUGUGCUAUGUUUAGGAUUGGGUCUUGUCCAUCACAUCAUUCUCCUAAUGAUGUGAUCUCGUUAUCAAUGACAUCCAGUGUCCAUAGUCAGGAAAUCAUGACUAUCUGUUGAUCAACGAGCUAGUCAACUAGAGGCUCACUAGGGACAUGUUGAUGUCUGUUAUUCACACAUGUAUUACGAUUUCCGGAUAACACAAUUAUAGCAUGAAUAAAGACAAUUAUCAUGAACAAGGAAAUAUAAUAAUAAUGCUUUUAUUAUUGCCUCUAGGGCAUAUUUCCAACAUAUAGAAUGGGUGAUAUCGGGAUGAUCAAAGGGGGGCUUGCCUGGAAGCUCCGAUGAAAGGUAAGGGUCGUCGUCGACGUAGUCGAUCACAGGGGUGGCAUCGGUCUCGGGUCUACCGGACAGAAGAGGGGGAAGAAACAGUAAAUACAGAGCAAACAGAUACAUGACAAGUCAACAAGAAGAGCUAGGGGUGAUCUAAUGCAGUACUACACGAUACUGGUGAAGUGGGAUAACAUCCAGAAAGUUUUCCCGAAGUUUGGCAUUUUCGGACAGACCAACCGGAGGGUAAAGGUUCGAUGUUUGCUAUGCUAUAGACAUGUGACAGAUGAACGGAGAGAGUAUUCAGAUUUGUCUCGCCUUUCUGAGCAACUUUCAUGUAUAAAGUUUUUCCAACUGAGUUAUGGUUUAUUUUCUAUGAAUUUUCAAAGAUCAAAACAUUUUCCGGAAUUAUCAAAAUUAACAGAAAUGGAAAUAUGACGUCACUACUGCGUCAGCAAGUCAAACCGCCUGGUCAGGGUCAAACCUGACCUGCAGGACCCACCUGUCAUAGACAGUGGGUUAAACAGGGUUAGUUUUAAAUCUAUGCAGAGUUAAUUAACUAGUGGGCCCCUGUUAGUGGGUAUUUAGCUAAUCUAAUUAUGUUUUAAAUGAAAGCCAUUUAGUUAAUUUUAAUUAACUGGCUGGGCCCACAUGUCGGUGCCUCAGGGUGAAUAAAGCCACGCGUUGACUAGAGUCAACGCAGUCAAACGCGCCGCGGGGCCCACUGGUAGUGACACUGGGUGGGACCCAAGCCACGUCAGGUCAGUGCCGGUGCCGAAACGAGCUCCGGCGAGCUCUCCGCGGCAGCCGAACGCCGGAGCAGCUCGGAAAAACACCACAGUUCAUCAUUUUGUGUGCCACGACUUGCGUUCGAAAGCUAGGAGGGAGCCGUGUCGAGUGGUGCUGCUAGACUACGUCGGGGAGGCCGGAAACGUCGCCGGCGUCGAGCUUGGCGGUGGUGGCUUUCGGGCAUGCUCGCGCUCGUCGCUGCAGGGCACUGCAAGGACUGUGGAAAGUGGCGCUGGACUGCUAGGAGCGUGCUGAGCACGAUGCCGUGCUCGUCCGAGCUGGAGGGAGAGUGUAGACACGGUGACGAGUACGGCGGCGGAGGCGCGCUACGACCAGGAUGGUAGCUACGGCUAGGGGCGCGGUGAGGCGAGGAAGGAGAGGGGAGAGGACGGAGUGGAGCUCAACGAGCGGCCACGAAAGGCCCUUGACGGCUUAGGAGCAGCAGGGGUGCUCGACGACACCGGCAAGCGUCAGAGGCGAAUGGGGACGAUGGCGAUCGGCAGCUGCAGGGGCCCUCGGCUCCAUGAAGGACCCCGGGCGACGUGGAUGAGGACGGCGGAGCGGACGGACAGGGCCGAUGGCCUCGGGGCCACUGGUGGCCGUGGGAUUGACGGAGGUACGGUGGCGAUGGCGUCGGUCUCCUCUCCAGAACGAAGGAGAUGGAGAGGAGAGAGGUGGAUCUGGGGAAGGAGAGGCACAAGUGGCGGAGUGGGAGUGGCGGUAGGUGAGGGGGGACGAGGUGACGGGAGCCCGAGGCGUCGCCCUUAUCCCCUCGGGGUGGCGUCGGCGAGGCUGGUCCGACGGGGACGAGCCCCUAUAGCGGCUCGAGUCGGGGGAACAGAGAGGAGGGACGCGAUCGGGGGAGAUGGGCUGGACCAGCUGGGUUGGCUCGGUUAGAUGGGUCGAGGCCUGGGGGUCAGGGGAGGCCUUUUCAUUUUAUUUUCAUUUUGCUUUUCUAUUUUCUAAUUAGUUUCCUUUUAUUUUUAGUUUUACAAAAUACAUCACUAGCCCCUAAAUCAACACUAGUAACCUAUGCCAUUGCCACACAUAGUUGGAGGUAAAAAAUAAAAUAGUUUAGUAAUUUUACAAUUUAAAAAUCAAUUAAAUAAUUAUCUAGGCCACUAUGUUGACUAGUUUAAGGCAUUUAAACACUUUGCAAAAAUGUUGGUUCACCACCAUAAUUAGUUAUGGAAUACUUGCCAAAAGAUGAACAUUUUAUUUUGCAGGUUUGAGAAAUUUGAAUUUGGACUUUAAUUUGAAUUAUGCUUCGGAUCAAAUGAGGAUUAGCAACAGUAAGAGUGAUGACCUAGCAUCAUUAGCAGGAGAUUACUGUAGCUUAAUUAUCCGGGCAUCACAUUGACGCGGCUAAUCAACGGGCUAGGGAGAUGCCCAUCAAUUGAUGUCAAUGCAAGGAGUAGGGAUUGUCAUGCAACCGAUGCACUAGAGCUAUAAAUGUAUGAAAGCUCAACAAAAGAAACUAAGUGGGUGUGCAUCCAACUUACUUGCUCACGAAGAGCUAGGGCAUUUGAGGAAGCCCAUCGUUGGAAUAUACAAGCCAAGUGCUAUAAUGUAAAAUUCCCACUAGUAUAUGAAAGUGACAAAACAAGAGACUCUCUAUCAUAAAGAUCAUCAUGCUACGUUGAAGCACAAGUGUGGAAAAGAGGAUAGUAGCAUUGUCCCUUUUAUUUCUUUUUUUUCUUUUUUGGGCCUUUCUUUUUUUCGCCUUUCUUUUUUUUGGUACAAUGCUCUACUAACGAUGAUCAUCACACUUCUAUUUAUUUACAACUCAAUGAUUACAACUCAAUACUAGAACAAAAUAUGACUCUAUAUGAUUGCCUCCGGCGGUGUACCGGAAUAUGCGAUGAAUCAAGAGCGACAUGUGUGAAAGAAUUAUGAAAGUGGCUUUGCUACAAAUAUGAUGUCAACUACAUGAUCAUGCAAGGCAAUAUGACAAUGAUGAAGCGUGUCAUAAUAAAUGAAACGGUGGAAAGUUGCAUGGCAAUAUAUCUCGGAAUGGCUAUGGAAAUGCCAUAAUAGGUAGGUAUGGUGGCUAUUUUGAGGAAUAUAUAAGGAGGUUUAUGUGUGAAAGAGCAUAUCAUAUCACGGGGUUGGAUGCACCGGUGAAGUUUUCACCAACUCUCCAGGUGAGAAAGGGCAAUGCACGGUACCAAAGAGGCUAGCAAUGAUGGAAAGGUGAGAGUGCGUAUAAUCCAUGGACUCAACAUUAGUCAUAAAGAACUCGCAUACUUAUUGCAAAUAUCUACAAGUCAUCAAAAACCAAGCACUACGUGCAUGCUCCUAGGGGGGUAGAUUGGUAGGAAAAGACCAUCGCUCGUCCCCGACUGCCACUCAUAAGGAGGACAAUCAAAGAAACACCUCAUGCUUCAAAUUUGUCACACAACGUUUACCAUACGUGCAUGCUACGGGACUUGCAAACUUCAACACAAGUAUUUCUCAAAUUCACAACUACUCAACUAGCACAACUCUAAUAUUACCAUCUCCAUGUCUCAAAACAAUCAUCAAGUAUCAAACUUCUCAUAGUAUUCAAUGCACUAUUUAUGAUAGUUUUUAUUAUACCAAUCUUGGAUGCCUAUCAUAUUAGGACUAAUUUUAUAGCCAAAGCAAACUACCAUGCUGUUCUAAAGGACUCUCAAAAUAAUAUAAGUGAAUCAUGAGAAAUUAAUAAUUUCUAUAAAAUAAAACCACCACCGUGCUCUAAAAGAUAUAAGUGAAGUACUAGAGCAAAACUAUCUAGCUCAAAAGAUAUAAGUGAAGCACAUAGAGUAUUCUAAUAAAUUCUGAAUCACAUGUGUCUCUCCAAAAGGUGUGUAAAUCAAGGAUGAUUGUGGUAAACUAAAAAGCAAAGAUUCAAUUCAUACAAGAUGCUCCAAGCAAAACACAUACCAUGUGGUGAAUAAAAAUAUAGCCUCAAGUAAAGUUACCGAUGGACGAAGACGAAAGAGGGGAUGCCUUCCGGGGCAUCCCCAAGCUUAGGCUCUUGGUUGUCCUUGAAUUUUACAUUGGGGUGCCUUGGGCAUCCCCAAGCUUAGGCUCUUGCAAUUCCUUAUUCCAAAAUCCAUCAAAUCUUUACCCAAAACUUGAAACUUCACAACACAAAACUCAAUAGAAAAUCUCAUGAGCACCGUUAGUAUAAGAAAACAAAUCACCACUUCAAGCUACUGUAAUUAACUCAUUCUUUUUUUAUAUUUGUGUUCAACCUACUAUAUUCCAACUUCUCUAUGGUUCAUACCCCCCGAUACUAGCCAUAGAUUCAUUAAAAUAAGCAAACAACACACGAAAAACAGAAUCUGUCAAACACAGAACAGUCUGUAGUAAUCUGUAUCAAACGUAUACUUAUGUAACUCCAAAAAUUCUAAAAUAAAUUGCUGGACGUGAGAAAUUUUUCUUUUGAUCAUCUGCAAAAAGAAUCAACUUAAAAUCACUCUCCAGUAAAAAAUUGUAGCUAAUCUCGUGAGCGCUGAAGUUUUUGUUUUUUACAGCAAGAUCAUAUAAACUUCACCCAAGUCUUCCCAAAGGUUAUACUUGGCACAAACACUAAUUAAAACAUGAAAACACAUCUAAACAGAAGCUAUAUGAAUUAUUUAUUACUAAAAAGAACCAAAAAGCAAGAAACAAAAAUAAAAAUUGGGUUGCCUCCCAACAAGCGCUAUCGUUUAACGCCCCUAGCUAGGCAUAAAAGCAAGAAUAGAUCUAGGUAUUAUAGUAAUGGUAGGGCAAAUUGCGAAAAAUCAUCUCAUAUUCCCUACGUUCAGCAGCAAGUUUUCUUUGUGGCAAGCAAAAAUAAUCAAAAGGGAUAAAUUUAAUGGGACAGAAGUCCCCAAGAUCAAGUUCGGGAGGUAUGGGUUCCUCCUUUGGCCCUUUAUAGUGCACAACCAAUUCAUCAUUAUAAGCAUUCUUUUGGCAAUAAGUCAUAAGCCUUUCUUCAAGAGAAAAACCUAACCCAUUGUUUUGGAUAGCAAAGGCAUCAUUAAGUUUAGAAAUUUUAUCAACUAGAACAUCAGUAGGAACCUUCUUUCUAAGGUUUUCAUCGUAAGGCACAUGAUCUAAAGACCGUAAACGCAUUAAGUCUUCUUGAUUAAAAAGGAUAGCUUCUAUGGGAGGACGACCAGCGUCCACCCUAUAAUGCGCAAAAAUUUCAUUGGCCUCUUUCAUUAAAAAUCUGAACUCAUGUGCCAAAAAGAUAGCAGUUGCUCGCUUAACAGAAGAAUGCUCGAUAUUAGAAAAUUCUAGAAAAAUCCUUUGUAUGCAAGGAUGCAUAUGAAUGAAUUGUAUUUCAAGUUCAAUUACGAGAAAGGAUAUAGCAUUCGAAAGACUACUAGUUCUAUGAAGAAUAGACCCACCCAUAGAGGGCAAGGCACCAGCACAAGUAAAGAAAUCUUGAAUAACUCCUUUUCCAAUAAUAUUACCACUACCAAUCCGAAAACUUUUAGUGUGUAAAAUAGUAGAUUUUUCACGAGGGUCAUCAAAAGCAUCAAAUUUUUCCAUGUUAUCACCUCCCCAGUUUCAGACAUGAUGGCAGCAAAUUGCUCAAAGAAGAAGUACACAAAUAGCAAGCGAAAAGAGGCGAACAGAAAAAAGGCGAAGAGAGAGGGCGAAUAAAACGACAAACGUGAAGUGGGGGAGAGGAAAACGAGAGGCAGAUGGCAAAUAAUGUAAUGCGAGGGAUAAGGGUUUGUGAUGGGUACUUGGUAUGUCUUGAUUUGGCGUAGAUCUGCCCGGCAAUUCUUCUUGCUACCUCUUGAGCAUGCGUUGGUUUUUCCCUAGAAGAGUAAAGGGUGAUGCAGCAAAGCAGCGUAAGUAUUUCCCUUAGUUUUUGAGAACCAAGGUAUCAAUCCAGUAUGAGACUACACGCAAGUCGCCUCAUACCUACACAAACAAAUAAGAACCUUGCAACCAACGCGAUAAAGGGGUUAUCAAUCCCUUCGCGGCCACUUGCAAAAUUGAGAUCUGAUAGAGAUGAUAAGAUAAAUAUUUUUGGUAUUUUUAUGAUAUAGAUUGGAAAGUAAAGAUUGCAAAAUAAACGGCGACAGAAAUUGGCUAGUUGACGGAAAAUAAUAUGAUGGAAGAUAGACCCCGGGGGCCAUAGGUUUCACUAGUGGCUUCUCUCAAGAUAGCAUAAGUAUUACGGUGGGUGAACAAAUUACUGUCGGGCAAUUGAUAGAAAAGUGCAUAGUUAUGAGAAUAUCUAGGCAUGAUCAUGUAUAUAGGCAUCACGUCCAUGACAAGUAGACCGAAAUGAUUCCGCAUCUACUACUUUUACUCCACACAUCGACCGCUAUCCAGCAUGCAUCUAGAGUAUUAAAUUCAUAAGAACAAAGUAACGCAUUAGGCAAGAUGACAUGAUGUAGAGGGAUAAACUCAAGCAAUAUGAUAUAAACCCCAUCUUUUUAUCCUCGAUGGCAACAAUACAAUACGUGCCUUGUUGCCCCUGUUGUCACUGGGAAAGGACACCGCAAGAUUGAACCCAAAGCCAAGCACUUCUCCAAUUGCAAGAAAGAUCAAUCUAGUAGGCCAAACCAAACUGAUAAAUCAAAGAGACUUGCAAAGAUAUUUGAAUCAUGCAUAAAAGAAUUCAGAGAAGAAUCAAAUAUUGUUCAUAGAUAAUCUUGAUCAUAAACCCACAAUUCAUUGGAUCUCGACAAACACACCACAAAAAGAAUUACAAAAUAUAGAUCUCCAAGAAGAUCGAGGAGAACUUUGUAUUGAGAUCCAAACAGAGAGAAGAAGCCAUCUAGCUAAUAACUAUGGACCCGAAGGUCUGUGGUAAACUACUCACACAUCAUCGGAGAGGCUAUGGUGUUGAUGUAGAAGCCCUCCGUGAUUGAUUCCCCCUCUGGCGGAGCGCUGGAAAAGGCCCCAAGAUGGGAUCUCACGGGUACAGAAGGUUGAGGCGGUGGAAAUAGGGUUUCGUGGUGCUCCUGGAUGUUUUUAGCGGAUAUGGGUAUAUAUAUAGGAGGAAGAAGUAGGUUGGUGGAGCUGUGAGGGGCCCAUGAGGGUGGGGGCGCUCCUGCCCCCCCCCCCUGGGCGCGCUCCCCUGCCUCGUGGCCUCCUAACUUCUUUCUUGACGUCCACUCCAAGUCCCUUGGAUCACGUUUGUUCCAAAAGUAACUCUCCCGAAGGUUUCAUUCCGUUUGGACUCCGUUUGAUAUUCCUUUUCUGCGAAACACUGAAAUAGGCAAAAAACAGCAAUUUGCAUUGGGCCUUCGGUUAAUAGGUUAGUCCCAAAAAUAAUAUAAAAGUGUAUAAUAAAACCCAUUAAACAUCCAAAAUUGAUAAUAUAAUAGCAUGGAACAAUCAAAAAUUAUAGAUACGUUGGAGACGUAUCCGCCACCACCGCCCGGCGCCCCCUCCGCCCGGCCAGCACCGCCCCGCCGCCGCCCCACCCGCCCGCAGCACCACCCCGCCACCCUAGAUCCCCGCGGCCCCGUCGCCACCACAGCCCGGCGCCCCCUCCGCCNNNNNNNNNNNNNNNNNNNNNNNNNNNNNNNNNNNNNNNNNNNNNNNNNNNNNNNNNNNNNNNNNNNNNNNNNNNNNNNNNNNNNNNNNNNNNNNNNNNNNNNNNNNNNNNNNNNNNNNNNNNNNNNNNNNNNNNNNNNNNNNNNNNNNNNNNNNNNNNNNNNNNNNNNNNNNNNNNNNNNNNNNNNNNNNNNNNNNNNNNNNNNNNNNNNNNNNNNNNNNNNNNNNNNNNNNNNNNNNNNNNNNNNNNNNNNNNNNNNNNNNNNNNNNNNNNNNNNNGCCGGCGAGCAACCCCGUCGCCCGGCGCCCCUGGGCCUUGCCGGCCUGCCGCAGGCCGUCCCACCCCUGUCGUAGGUGAGCCCCGGCCGCACCCCUCUUCUCCUCUUUUUCUCCUGUUUUUCUGUUUUUUAGUUCAGAUUACUUUUAGUUUUGUUUUAGAUUUAGUUUAGUUUAGAUUACUUUUAUUUUGGUUUUAUAUUUAGUUUAGUUUAGAUUACUUUUAGUUUGGUCUUAGGUUUAGUUUAGUUUUAGGUUUAUGUUUAGUCAUGAAAAAAACUAAGAAUAAUUAGAAGAAGAGGAGGAGAAGAAGAACAUCUAAGUUUAGGUGCAGUUUUUUCCUGUCUUGUUUUAGGUUAAUUAGUGCUAGGUUUAAGAAGAGGAAAAAGGAGAAGAAGAAGAAGAAGAAGAAGAAGAAGAAGACGAGGAGGACGAGGAGAAGAAGAAGAAGAAGAAGAAGAAGAAGAAGAAGAAGAAGAAGAAGAAGAAGAAGAAGAAGAAGAAGAAGAAGAAGAAGAAGAAGAAGAAGAAGAAGAAGAAAGAGGAGAGGAGGNNNNNNNNNNNNNNNNNNNNNNNNNNNNNNNNNNNNNNNNNNNNNNNNNNNNNNNNNNNNNNNNNNNNNNNNNNNNNNNNNNNNNNNNNNNNNNNNNNNNNNNACCCUGACACCACACCCCGACACCCUGACACCACACCCCGACCCCGACCCCGACACCCUGACACCCCGAUCGACCCCGACACCUGACACCACAACCACACCCCGACCCUGACCCCGACGGGGUCAUAAAUUUGUGAAUUAUGAGUUAGGUUGUAUAUUUUUCGAUUUUGUUAUGCAAAACAUCAUAUAUAUUUGUGUUGAUCGGGCGUAUUUAAAUGUGCAGUUGUUUCGUUGCUGAGAGGGUGUGGUGUUUGACGACCUCCCCAUGCGUUCCACGAGCUCCGCCCCUGCGUUAGUUGGUGAGCACAAAUGGCAUCUCCUCCUCCGCCCUUCAUUGGCUCUGUUCCGGUCUUCAUGCCGAUGAAACUUGCUAGCUAUAGGUGUCAAUCAUCAGUAUGCGUAACCACUAUGCGUCUCCUGUUCGAAAGGGUUACAUCUAUAAAUCUGCAUGCAUUUGCAUGUUUAUAAUCGUGAUUCUUCCGAAUUGUCCAACGUUAUCCAUGGUCAGCCCCAGUAUGUGUAGGUUGGGUUCAUUUUCCCAUAUGCUCUGCUCUGGAUCCGAUGCAGAAUUUCGUCAGUGCCUCCCUAUUGUUCUCCGGGUACACAUCCUCUCUGCUUAUUGCCGAGAUGUGUAUCAGGAGAACAACGGGGAGGUGCUGCUAAAAUUUUGCGUCAGAUCCAGAGCAGAGCAUGGGAAAACGAACCCAAUCUACACAUACUCAGGUGGAAUUAGGACCUAUCUUUACCUAUUAGCGUGUAGCUUGCAUGGACAUAAUAAAACUGACAAACUGCAUUAACUGAUGGAUAUGGUUUGCUUAAUUAUGUAUAUGUUUCUUGUGUGUCCAGUAGGAAGUCAAUAUGAGUGAUCGUGCGUGGAUGUACACCGGUUACACUAGUCAGAAAGUUUGGACCGAGGAAUGGUUAACAAAAACCAAGGGGUUUGUUAGAGCCGCAUUUGCAAAUGGCCAGGAAUUAAGCUGGUGCCCCUGUGCCCAAUGCGACAACUAUAAAAUGAGGGACGAGCUUGAAAUGAGUAAAGACCUACAGAAGUUUGGUUUUACGCCUGGUUACAUGGUCUGGACAUUACAUGGUGAGUCUUCCCAACGUGCCAGAGCCGAGGUGGUUCAUCGUUGCACGGACGAGCAUGGUACCGGGACCGCAAACAUGGUGCAAGACUUUGACGAUCCUCAGGACUCAGACGAGGAGAUGGAGGAAUCUGCAAAGGCCUUCACUGAAAUGUUGGAGUCCUCAAAACGUCAUCUCCACGAGCACACUAAGCUUUGUCAGCUGGAUACCAUCUCACAAAUAAUGGCUUUAAAGGCUCCAUUCAACUUGGGCAGAGAAUGCUACGAUGCGAUGAUGAUAGUAUUCGGAUGAUUUCUACCCAAAGGCCAUGUGCUACCUCCAAACCUGUACCAGUCAGACAAAAACCUUCGUGCUCUUAAGAUGCCCUAUGAGAAGAUACAUGCCUGUGAGAAAGGAUGUGUCUUAUUUAGGAUUCAGUAUGAGGACUUGAACUAUUGUCCCAUUUGCAAUUCUUCCAAGUAUGUUGUGGUUGACAACGGUAUGGGUGAGAAGAUGCAGACCAAAAUACCCGUUAAUGUUCUUCGGUAUAUGCCAAUCGUACCAAGACUUCAACAUCUUUUCAUGGUCGAAGAGACGGUUAAACAGAUGACAUGGCACAAAACGGGCAAAAGAACCGAACUAGAUGCAAAUGGGAAUGUGAUGAUGGUGCACACAUCGGAUGGUGAAGCGUGGAAGCGCUUCGAUGCAUUACGUAAGGAAAAAAUGGCAGAUCCAAGGCAUCCUCGAGUCGCGAUCAGCACGGAUGGGUUCAAUGUGUUUGGUCAGGAGGUUGCCCCAUACAGUUGUUGGCCCGUGUUUGUCAUUCCGCUCAAUCUCCCCCCCCCCAGGCAGAUUAUGCAAAGAAAGAACAUUUUCCUGACGUUGAUAACUCUAGGGCCCAACUAUCCAGGGAAGAAUAUGAAUGUGUACAUGCAGCCGCUUAAGGAUGAAUUGCAAGAAGCUUGGGAUAAUGGGUUCAAGACAUACGACGCCUUUAGCAAACAGAACUUCAUAAUGCGUGUCUGGUACAUGUACUCGAUGCAUGACUUGCCGGUAUAUACGAGGAGUGGUGUGUUGUAGGCCUUAGUUGAGAAAGAGAGAUUGAAGACCCAGGUUCUUUUGGAGGAGGCAAAAAGGGAGGCGGCGGAGAGGGAGAGGGAGUUGGAGGAGAGGACGGCUAAGCUGUUGGAGGAGGAGAGGAACCGGAAUGAGGCGUCUAACCGGGCCCUAUACGAGCUCAUCAUGGUACGUUUCUCGUGCAUAUUAGCCCAAUCAUGCACGUAAUGUUCGCAUUACUAACUAAUAUGACUGACUCAUGAGAACCAAAUGUGUAGACCAUGUGCAAGAAAAAUGGUCAACCCCCUCCGCCGAUGCCCCAGAUUGCUCCGGCGACCAUGGUGAGUUUGAUUUGAAUGGUCGUUAGUUACUAGUAUUCACAUUUCAGUUUGCAUCAUGCUAACGAGACAUUAUUGGAAAUGAUAUUUGGUGCAGCAUGGCUCCCGACAAGCAUCGACCAAUCGUUCUGCGUCUACCAAUGGCGGAACCCCGACCGGUCCUUCACCUCCGUCUGCCAUUGGCGCAGCCCUGACCAUUCCUAUACCUCCGUGAUAACGAUAUUUUUCUUCUUAUUUAGCAUGUUUAGUCCAUUUUUGACAUAAUUUAGCCUAUUUGGUCUACAAAUGACAUAAUAAGAUGAAGAAAAUCAAGGAAGAGGAAGGAAAGAAUGAAUAGGAAGAAAAGAAGGAGAAGAAGAAGAAGAAGAAGUUCUUCUUCUUCUUUGUUUUUAUUCGUAAAUGGCAUAAUAACCUUGCUAACCUCAUAAAUGUCAUAUACUUAGCUUAUUGUCCUCUAAAAUGACACAAUAAGCUUAGUUAGGCCAAAAAUGGCAUAAUUAGCUAGGUAAGCUCAAAAAUGACAUUUUUAUUCUUAUUUAGCCUACUUAGUCCAUUUAUGACAUAAUUUAGCCUAUUUAGUCCACAGAUGACAUAAUAAUAUGAAGAAAAUCAAGGAAGAGGAAGAAAAGAAGGAAUAGGAAGAAAAGAAGAAGAAGAAGAAGAAGAGCAAGAACAAGAAGAAGAAGAAGAAGAAGAAGAACUUCUUGUUCUUCUUCUUCUAGUUUUCUUCUUCUUCUUCUCCAAAAUGAAGUUAGCUCUAAGUUAGCUCUAAUAUGCUUAGUUACCUAGGUUAGCUCAAUAAUGACCUAUACUAAGUUGCUUUAUAUCAAAAAUGGCAUAAUAUGCUUAGUUCGCUUAAAAAUGCCAUAAUUAGCUAGGUUAGCUCCAUUUUACCUAAGUAUGCUUACUUCUUCUUCUUCUUCUUCUUCUUCUUCAUUUUCUUCUUCUUCUUCUGAUUCUAGUCUUCUUCUUCUAACUUUCUUGUUUCCCAUUUUGCAGAUUUAAUUCACUAUAUGGAAGCUUGCAUGGAUGGAGUGCUUGUUUCCCUGUUCUUCUUUUCGUUUGUAUCGAUAAAAAAAUGUGGAACUUGUUAUAUGGAUGGAUGGAAUAAUGUGUUGGAUGAACAUUGUGAUAUGUAUGGAUGGAACUCUGUUUUUUAUGUAUGUAUGUUGUCAUGGAUGGAGCUAUGUGUUGGAUACAUCAUAUGUCUGUUGUGCAUGUGAAAAAAAAUAUGUAUAUCUGUAUGUGAAUUCUAGUGAAAUUAAAUGGAUUCAAAUAAAAACAGGGGAUAUAUAGCCUCUUUGCCAUCUGCUAGCAGACGGCAAAGCUCUUUGUCGUCUCCUAGCAGACGGCAAAGAGGACACGUGGCAGCUACCUGUAGAAACUGGGAACACUGGCUGCCUAUUUGGUCACAUGGCAGCUUCCCAGUGCUGGCCUAGCUGAGCUCUUUGCCGUCUGUCAGCGGACGGAAAAGACCUUUGCCUCUUUGCCGUCCACUGGUGGACGGCAAAGAGUGCCGUUAACCUCCAACGGCUCUCACCCCACCCCACUGCCGUCCGUUAUCUUUGCCAUCUGCUGGCCUCGGAUGGCGGACGACACAAUCCUUUGUCGUCCGUUUCUAAGAAGCGGACAGCAAAGAAGGCCUUUGCUCGCACAUGUUCAGACGGACAAUUUGCCAUCUACUGGCAACAGCAAAGAAGUUUGCCAUCCGGGAUGUAUGCAUUUGCCGUCUGCCAUGGCAGACGGCAAAGAAGCUGAUUCCAGUAGUGUAAAGGUGAUAUUGAUCUUAAGCAUGUUCGUACUGAUAUGCAAUUGGCGGAUAUAUUCACCAAACUGCUUGAUGAGAAAGUGUUUUGCCGUUUGAGAGGUGAAUUAAACAUCAUUGAUGCUUCAAACUUGGAGUAGAAACUCCAUUUGGAUACAUGCAAGGCAUGAGCCUAUGACUAAUCCUUGACUUUUCUCUAUUGAUGAUGAUCAUAUAUCUUAGAUAUAUUUGUACCCUUGCAUGCUAUCUAACCCUUGUAGGUACUUGGAUGAAUCUAAAUCCAUGAGAUUGCAACUCACUCACAUCUUGAGCAAUCUCUACAUAACCAAGUCUCUACACCAUGGUGGUUGAAAACAAGGAAGCAUGAAACUCUUCAACAUAUCCUUUGACAAAUUCUAUAUAUCAAAUUUCAUGUGGUAUCAAAUUUCAUGAUUUUCAUUUUGGAUACACAAGUGCUCUUCCUUGCAAGAUUAACCCAUGUAAGAUGAACUCAAAUCCAAGAGGUGCUCCCAAUCCUUGAUGAGCUACAUCAACCCUGAGCAUCCUUCACAAGUUCAACUACAUGACCAAGAUCAACACCACCACCAAAGGUAUGAUAUUCCAUCUUAGAGAAGUUUUACCCCAAGUCAUGGGUCAAAGCAGCUCAACAAGAUGCGAAUACAUCAAAAAUGCUUAAACGAAAAAUGGUAACCCCAUUUUGAGCUUAAACGAUGAGUAUGACCUACGAUCAAGUGAUCUCACUUGACUCCUCGGUCAAUAUACUCUAACAUAGGUGACUUUGUCGCCGCCCAAUUCUAGAUGAAGUUCUCUAGUGUAUUUCUAGGUUCUUGCAUUUGUUCCUUGCAUAUUUUCCCCUUCUUUUUCAAAAAAAAAAAACUUCAUCUAGAUUUCUUUUCUUUUCUCUAUUUUGUUCUGCAUUUCCUGCAUCCAAUUCAUUGCAAAUCCUUCAGUUAAUUUCUUGCAAAUCAUUGUGAGAUCUUUCUUGCCUAGUGAGAUGAAGUGACUACUGUUCUCUCUAUGUUGAACUCGAACACACGAAUUAGUCUCUUUUGGUCAAACUGAACCAUUUCGGUGCCACCGAAGAAUACAACUCGGUGUUACCAAUUUCACUGUAGAGAAGACAAUUUGCCACUUGCAUCCUGCAUUUUGACUCCAGCUCCACUCGAUGAUUCUUGUCCUCUACCUGCAUCACAUUCUACAUGCUGCUUUGUUAUGUCACUCAAGGACCAAACCUAUUUUGACUCACACUCCAAAAGAUCCCUUCUUGGAAAUUGAUGUCAAAGGGGGAGAGAGAGCUCACAUCAAAGAUUAAUCACAUCGAAAGGGGGAGAGAGGUAAUCACAACAGAAGCCCUAGAUGCUUGGUGUUCAAGAGGAGAGAAGGCACAUGUCUUUAAGAGGGGAAAGACAUGCUAGUUUGUGUUUUAUUUUGUGUUCUGAUUUGUCUUGUUCUGGUUUCCUUUUCCCAAUAUUCUCCCAUUAUCUAACAUAAGAUUCAGGGGGAGAAAGAUCUCUGAGGGAAGGAAAUCUUCGAAUUCAUUGCAUAUCUUUUACCUUUGGGGACAUGUCUAUAUCAAAUAGGAGCACCUAGUACUCACUCUCUACAUGUCAUCCCAAUCUUGGUACUCUUGGGGCUGUUUUGUUUACUCUGUCUAGUAGAUGUAUCUGUGUUAUCUAACCUUGUUUACUCAGGUUCAUCUCUUCCUAAGCCAGCUCAAGACCACAAGGUAAGUAUAUGCAUCACACUCAUGUGCAUGAAGAUCUCUUGCUAAUGUACAUAUUGUUUGCAAAGACUCAUGAACAUGAAAGUACAUUUCCUACGUUCAUAUCAUUUGCUCUGAUGCAUAUAGCCAAGAUACAUGUAACUCAUUGCUUGCUCUAUCAUGCUCAUGCAUUCACAUGCUCUUAUAUUCAAUAUUAACAUGAUUGCAUACAUGUAGGGGGAGCCUAUGCAUGUCACAUGUCUUUCCAAAGCUUUACUUGCUAUUCUCUAUAUCUUUAUCUAAAGCUUUGAUGUAUGUUGUCAUCAAUUACCAAAAAGGGGGAGAUUGAAAUGAUAUAUUUUGGUAAUUAAUGUCAACAUAUAUCUGGUUGGACUAAUACUUUUAUCUAGUAUAUUUCAGAUGAAUUCAACAGUGGAGUGGCGUGGACAAGAGGAUGUGGAACCCCUUCAAGAUACUAAGUGCAAAGGAUUGGCUCUAGCUCAAGAUUCUACAUUUUCAUUUUAGUGAUCCAAGAUCACAUUGAGUCCAUAGGAAAAGCCAAUACUAUUAAAAGGGGAUGAGGUAUUGCUUAAUGGCUUGCUUGCUCAAAGUGCUUAGUGAUAUGCUCCAAAGCCCUCAACCACUUUCUCAUAUCCACACAUGUCCCAAACAGUGAUGCCCCUGAUUCAAUCAUACACUAAUCAUGCACGCAAACGUGUACGAUCAAGAUCAGGGACUCACGGGAAGAUAUCACAACACAACUCUAAAAACAUAAAUAAGUCAUACAAGCAACAUAUUACAAGCCAGGGGCCUCGAGGGCUCGAAUACAAGUGCUCGAUCAUAGACGAGUCAACGGAAGCAACAAUAUCUGAGUACAGACAUAAGUUAAACAAGUAUGCCUUAAGAAGGCUAGCACAAACUGGGAUACAGAUCGAAAGAGGCGCAGGCCUCCUGCCUGGGAUCCUCCUAAACUACUCCUGGUUGUCGUCAGCAGCCUGCACGUAGUGAUAGGCACCUCCAGUGUAGUAGGAGUCGUCGUCGACGGUGGCGUCUGGCUCCUGGACUCCAGCAUCUGGUUGCGACAACCAGAAGGAAGGAAAGGGGGAAAGGGGGGGAGAAAGCAACCGUGAGUACUCAUCCAAAGUACUCGCAAGCAAGGAACUACACUACAUAUGCAUGGGUAUAUGUGUAAAGGGUCAUAUCGGUGGACUGAACUGCAGAAUGCCAGAAUAAGAGGGGGAUAGCUAAUCCUGUCGAAGACUACGCUUCUGGCAGCCUCCGUCUUGCAGCAUGUAGAAGAGAGUAGAUUGAAGUCCUCCAAGUAGAAUCUCCAAGUAGCAUCUCCAAGUAGCAUCUUCAGUAGCAUCGCAUAGCAUAAUCCUACCCGGCGAUCCUCCCCUCGUCGCCCUGUGGAAAAGCGAUCACUGGGUUGUCUGUGGAACUUGGAAGGGUGUGUUUUAUUAAGUAUCCGGUUCUAGUUGUCAUAAGGUCAAGGUACAACUCCAAGUCGUCCUAUUACCGAAGAUCACGGCUAUUCGAAUAGAUUAACUUCCCUGCAGGGGUGCACCACAUAACCCAACACGCUUGAUCCCAUUUGGCCGGACACACUUUCCUGGGUCAUGCCCGGCCUCGGAAGAUCAACACGUCGCAGCCCCACCUAGGCACAACAGAGAGGUCAGCACGCCGCUCUAAACCUAUGCGCGCAGGGGUCUGGGCCCAUUGCCCUAAGCACACCUGCACGUUGCGUGGGCGGCCGGAAGCAGACCUAGCCUAGUGGCGUUCCAGUCCAAUCUGGCGCGCGCCGCUCAGUCGCUGACGUCAAGAAGGCUUCGGCUGAUACCACGACGUCGGGAUACCCAUAACUACUCCCACGUAGAUGGUUAGUGCGUAUAGACCAAAUGGCCAGACUCAGAUCAAAUACCAAGAUCUCGUUAAGCGUGUUAAGUAUCCGCGAACACCGAACAGGGCCAGGCCCACCUGCCUCCUAGGUGGUCUCAACCUGCCCUGUCACUCCGCCACAAAGUAACCGUCGGGGGCUGUCGGGAACCCAGGCCCACCUCUACCGGGAUGGAGCCACCUGUCCUUUCAGCACCCUCAUCAGAAUCACUUGCGGGUACUCAUCGAGCUGACCCGACUUUAGUCACCAUCUGUAUAGUAUGUAUGUAUGUAUGUAUAGUAUAUACCCGUGAUCCCCUCCCGAGAGGUCACGGCCCAAUAGUAUAGCAAGGCAGGGCCAAUGAUGAUAAACUAGCAUCCUAUACUAAGUAUUUAGGAUUGCAGGUAAGGUAUCAACAGAUGUAGCAACAAUGUCAGGCUAUGCAUCAGAAUAGGAUUAACAGAAAGCAGUAACAUGCUACACUACUCUAAUGCAAGCAGUAUAGAGGAGAAUAGGCGAUAUCUGGUGAUCAAGGGGGGAGCUUGCCUGGUUGCUCGGGCAAGGAGGGGUCGUCAACACCGUAGUUGAACUGGGGGUCGCCGGCAGUCUCGGGGUCUACCGGAAAGAAGUAACGGAGAGGGAACACAAUAAAUAACAGAGCAAACAAAGCAUCACAAAGCGUAACAAGGCAAUACGUGGUGUCCGGUGUGCCCUAACGCCGUAGUAGGUGAUACCGGCGAAAGGGGGAAACAUCCGGGAAAGUAUCCCCGGUGUUUCGCGUUUUCGGGCAGAGGUACCAGAGGGGGAAAGUUGCAUGUUCGCUAUGCUAGGGGUGUGUGGCAGACGAACGGGCUGUGUAUCCGGAAUCGUCUCGUCGUUCUGAGCAACUUUCAUGUUGAAAAUAUUUUAAUCCGAGUUACGGAUUAAAAGAUAUGAUUUUCUAAAGAUUUUAUUAAUUUCUGAAUUUAAUUAAUUCGAAAAUUAAAUAAUGACAUCAGCAUGAUAUCAUGCUGACAUCAGUAGUCAACAGAGUUGACUGGUCAACCUGACCAGUGGAUCCCACUGGUCAAUGACAUAUUUUAACUAAACCUAUUAAUCAACAUAAUCAGGUUUAAUUAGGGGUGGGCCCCACUAUCAUUGACUACUUAAUUAAUUAAUUAGGUUAUUUAAGUAACUAACGUGUAAUUAGUUUAAUUAGCUGUUUAAUUUAAUUAAUCAAAAUUGAUUAAGUUGAUUAUUUCUUUAAUUAAUUAUUUAUUUAUUUAUUUUUAUUUUUAUUUUUAUUCUUAUAUACGUUCUGGGGCCGGGCCCCACAUGUCUGUGGCCCCAAAGGGCCUUAGCGGGUGAGCGGGCAGCGGGUGAGCGGGCGACGGGCGCCUGGGCGUGGGCGAACCCGCAUGGCAUCGGGGGAGCCCGCCCAGGAGGUUGAGGCCGCGGUGACGGGCGCCGGCUGUGGCUAACGGGGCGGAGCCCCGGGGACGUGCGGGCGACGGCGAACUGGUGCAGGUGCUCGCACCCGACGCCAUGAGAGGCGAGGGCGAGCGCGCCUGGGGGCCGUGGAGGGUGCGGCCGGAGCGCACUCGGGUGACGGCCGAGCCAAGGUGGAUGCACGCUCGGGCGACGCAGGGGCACGGCCAGGGGGUGCGGUCGGCGCGAGGGGCGACGGGCAUGACCGGACAGAGAGGCGCGCGGCCAGGGCGCGGCCCGACCACGGUGAGCGCGCGUGCGCGUGGUAGAGAAGGCCGAGGCGUCGCGAACGGCGCCAGCGACAGAGGGAAAGGGGGGAAGGAGGGAUCCUCACGGCGGGGAGUAGGGACCGUGGCAGCGGUGCGCGAGGAGGGAGACGGAGACGACGUGCGUAGGGGUAGCAGGCCGGUGGGGAAGAGGAGGCAGACCGGCGAUGGCGUCCGGCGAGGUAGCUCCGGCGACGGUGCCGUGGACGAGAAGGAUUCGAGGUAGAAGCGGUCCGGCGAGGGGGGGUAGUCGAGGCGGAGGGCGACGGUGGCGGCUCCGAUGAGGUGGCGAGGUGACGAGCGACGGGAUUGGCGAUGGGGACGGGGCGCCGGCGUCGGCCCGAUCCCGAUCCAGAACUGGAUCGGGGGAAGGGGGAGAGAGCGAGUGGGGGUGUGGGUGGUUAGGGUUUGCGGGGGGGUGAGGGUAUAAGGUGUGGCCGUUUGGGCCAGGGGGGAGCUGGGCCAGCCUGGUAGGUCGUGGCCCAGUUGGGCCGGUGGCCUGCUGGGCCGGAGCCCCGGGGGUUUCUUUUCCUUUUUUUUGUUUGUUUUUCUCUUUUGUAUUUUCUUUCUUUUAUUUAUUUUCUCUUAUGCUUUAAUUCAAGUUAAAAUAUUUAUGCAUUUUAUAAAACUGUGUCCUCUACACCAUAAUUAUCUAUGUAAUAUUUAGUACAAACCGAAGAUUUUUAUUUUAAUGUUUGAAAACUUUUAUUGUUUGACUUAAAUUCAAAAUUUGAAUUUGAAUCAGUUUCGAACUAACGCGAGAUUAGCAACAGUAAUUGUGGUGACGUGGCAUCAUUAACAGAGGUUUACUGUAGCUUAAGUAUCCGGACGUCACAAUUCUCCUCCACUACAAGAAAUCUCGUCCCGAGAUUUAAGCGGUGGAGUAAUGGGGGAAAGGUGCUGGUAGCGAAAAACCUAACGAGUCUUCUCGGUCUUGGCUGCCCUUUCGAAGAGGUUGAUCCCUUUCAUUGAUGUCUUCAUUUCUCUGCUUCAAGUCACCAUGAUCAAGUCGUCAUCCUUUCUUCGGGAUCUCCAUCGUCCUACGAACGCGACCAAGGGGAAAAACUCCGGAAGAACGCAUCUCCACAAAGCUGGGCAUUUGGCGGUGAACUCAAUGGGAAAUACACAAGGUACCCCGCGAGUUGUAUUUCAGUGAAUUCGUUGAGUGUAAUAGACGAUGGUACCAAAGUUUUAAACGGGUAGGCAAUCAUUCGAUGACUAGGCAGAAGGUGGAAUGGGGGUUUGAACAACGAGAAUAACAUGGUGUUUGAUUCCAGGAUGGAUAAUGGUAUAGCAUUUAGCUCAUGAAUCACAUACGAAGGCAUGUGCAAAGGAUCCAUUAGAAUCCGGGUUGUAAAGAAGAGUCAGGUUUCAAUCCAGUGGACCUGUGGGUUAUGGGCCCACCAUGUGGGUUAAAAGUAGGAAGGGCGAUGACGUCUUGCACGGUCAUGAUAGCAAGACAUGUCAGAGGGUAGCCUAUCAGUUAUGUCGACAACAAUGUCGGUACCAAGGGCGUGGGACAAAGGGAACCAUUUUCCUGCUCGUUGAACGAGGCGGACCAAUAGGCAAAGUUCUCGUCCAUCGGUGGUUACCAUAAUGUCAUCAACAAUAGUAACAGGGUCUUGCUGACAGAAAUGUACACCGAGGUGUUUACAUAAGCAGAAGAAUAUUUCUGCUUGGAUCAUAUAGAUCACCAGAAGGUUUAAACAAAUCAAUGGAAAGGAAAAGUGAUUAUCAGGUUUAAACAGAACCAUGGAAAGGAAAAGGUGUUUAAACACAUAUUUCAAGGGUAUAUCUUCCCAACGACAAGCAGAGCAUGAUAUCCAUGACAGGAUAUAACAUAGCAAACCCUUUAGGAAAGGGGAGAGAAAUAUCAUGACAUUACCCAUGCAACGGUGUUUGGAUAAUUGAGCAAGAAACAUUUAGCAUUGGGCUUCAAAUGUUCCUGUUGAAAAUCGGAGUACCAUAGACAUGCUUCGAGAUAGCAUUGACAUGGUCAACAGGUGAAGAUCAAAGUUUGGAAUAAAAAAGGAUCCAUCAGGAACAACUUAUAGAAUAAGUUUUACAAUUUGCUCAUGGAAGAAUGACUAACCUUGCCAAAAAGGAAACUAUAACAAUAGGUCCUCCGGCCAGGUGUGCUAGGCAUGAAAUCACCUUACCGGUUCAUAUAAGGGCCAAUGUUAUGAGUCUUGGAAAAUAUCCGAACCAUCAUAUCUGACCGAGUUUCAGAUCUGGUUGGGGUCAGGAUACCUCAGACCCAGGAUGCCUGAGAAGAAAAAGGUGCGACACAUUUUAUGACGACAAUAUAUGAUUCUCGGGAAGUGAACUAUGGAAGCGAGUUCCGAACAAGGGUUCACCAUUAAGCCAAGGAGAGGAUGAGGAGGUGGCUGAUGGGCUCAACGAUAAUUCAACAAGAUAUCCAAAAAGAUGGAUUUCCAUAACUAUGUGAACAAGGAGAUAACAUUAGUCAGAUCAAAUGAUAUAAUGAUGUAUGCUCUAGGAAAACAUACACAAUUAAACAUUGGCUGGAAGGUGCACCCGAAAUAUGGGAUGGGUAGUGUGACGCCCGGGUAAUUGAGCUACAGUGAUCCUCUGCUAAUGGUGCCACGUCACCUCGUUUAUAGUUGCUAAUCUUGAGUUUGUUCGAAACCAAUUCAAAUUCAAAUUCAAAAAAUAGGCAAACAAUAAAAGUUUUCAAAUAUUAAAACUAAAAUGUUCGGAGUGAACCAAAUAUUGCAUAACUAAUUAUGGUGGAAAAACCACACAUGCAUAAAAUGUUUAAAUAAUAUGAGAUGGGUAAAAUAGCAGCAAAACAAUUAUUUUAAAUGCUUUUAAAUACUAAACAAAUGUUAAUCUAGUUUAUAUAAUCACCAAACUUUUUGGAGUAGGUGGCCUAUGUUGUUAUGCUAAUUUAGGAGUAGGAGUUAUAUUUUUGUAAAGCUGUUUCGCUAACUAAAAUAAAUAAAAUAGAAAAGGAAAAAAAAAAUAAAAAAACAAAAGAAAAGAAGAGAGAGACCNNNNNNNNNNNNNNNNNNNNNNNNNNNNNNNNNNNNNNNNNNNNNNNNNNNNNNNNNNNNNNNNNNNNNNNNNNNNNNNNNNNNNNNNNNNNNNNNNNNNUUUUUUUACCUUUUUGUGUAGUAAUGUUGUAGAUGAAUGCAUAUAUAUGUAUAGUAAUAGAUGAUUAGAUAGAUGGAUGUUAGAUAGAUGAAUGAAAUGAAAGAGAGUAUAAAUGUGAAAAAAAUUAAGUGCAUAAUGUGAGAUAGAUAGAUGAGAUGAAUGGAUAUUUGUGUAGUUUUAUUAUGUUUUUAGAUACAUACUCAAUAUUAUAGAUAUAUGUAUUGUGAAGAUGAGAUGAGAGGGAAGAGUAAUUUUUUUGUGAAGAUAGAGAGACGAAAGUUAAAAUUUGGAUAUGAUGAGUGGUUACUUCAUCAAGUUGGUCUUGCUAAAACAAGUUUGUGAUAUGAUGUGAUGUGUGAUGAUGCUUUAUUUGUGAUGUGAUGACCUAAUUUUUUUCAUUUGGUGGAAUUUAGAGGAUUUCUGGUGUUGCCUCCGGUGGAGUGAUCAUUGACGUUGGAGCUCUUGGUCUUUGAUUGUCCCUUCGCUGAUCGACUACAUCAUCUACAUCCGAGGGUGAGCUACAAAUCCACCACCUCAUACGUUCUUUUAAUCAUGUCACUAGAUUAAUUUUUCACAUCAAGUCGCCUAACCUAGGUCUCCCGUCCGAAAGGGUUGCAUCGAUAAAUAUGCAUUCAAUUGCAUAUUUAUCACCGCAGCUCUUUCGCAUUGUCCAGCGCUUUCCACGGACAGCCCGAGGAUGUGUAGAUUGGUUACGUUGUUCAUGCUCUACCCCGUUUCGAGACAGGAUUUCGGCGGCGCCUCCCUGUUGUUCUCCGGAUGCACAUUCUCUCGGCAUUUUGCCGAGACGUGUAUUUGGAGAACAGCGGGGAGGUGCUGCCGAAAUUUUGUCUCGGAAUGGGGUAGAGCAUGGACAACGUACUCAAUCUACACAUUCUCGGGUGGGAUUAGGACCCAUCUUUACCUAUUAGAGAUGUAGGUGGAUUAAAUGUCGUUUCUCGUCAACCUUGUAAAAAAUAAAAUAUUGAUGUGAGUAAUUUAAAUGAAUCCUUAAUUUUGUUUUGUGGCUUCCAAUAAAGCAGAGAUGGCAGAUAAUCAGUGGAUGUAUAGUGGGUUUUUCCGUCAGAAUCAAGUAACAACAGAGUGGGUCGAGAAAACUGAUGUGUUUUUGAAAGAGAUAUUCCGUAGUCCAAUGAGGAUGGUGCCAGAAUGCCCGUGUGCCAGAUGUAAGAGGCGUAUCCGCAGAGAUAAGAGUGAGAUGACUAAGCACCUUCGCACGCAUGGAUUUAUGCCCAACUUUAAUAUGCCGAUAAACUUUGCCCAGCGGGACCGUGGUAGAGAGGAUGUGAUACGACAACGCGGCGCUUGUUAUGUGGACGAUGGGGUUAGAGACAUGCUAGAUGAUGUCUUUGCUGCACAGCCGACACCUCCGUUACAUUCAGCGAAUGAACCGGAGGAGCCGGAGGAAACCGCAAAGGCCUUCCUGGAAAUCUUGGCCUCGUCAAAGAAACCUCUCUAUGAGGGUGCCAAGCUGUCUGUGCUGGAUGCCAUCUCGCAACUGAUAGCAGUCAAGGCUGAGUACGGCUGUAGCCGAGGUUGCUUCGAAGCAUUUCUGGGAGUAUGGGCUAACAGUCUGCCUGAGGGCCAUGAACUGCCGAAAACCAUGUACGGUACGAAGAAAAUCAUGAAGGCGCUCUCGAUGGACUAUGAGAAAAUACAUGUUUGUCCAAAGAAUUGCCUUUUGUUUAGGCAUGAGUAUGCGGAUGACAAGUACUGUAGGAAGUGCGGUUCCUCUCGGUAUAUUGAGGUGGUCGAUAAGCAUGGUCAGAAGCAGCAGCUAAAAAUCCCUGUGAAGGUUCUUCGGUAUCUUGAUUUUAUAAAAAGACUGCAGCGCCUUUUCAUCACCGAGGAUUCUGCCAAAAUGAUGAAGUGGCACAAGGAAGGGAAAAGGUACAAUCCAAAAAAAAUUGUACAUCCAUCAGGAGGUGAAGCAUGGAAGUCAUUCGAUAUAGAGUACCCGGAGGAAGCAGCCGAGGCUGGGAAUGUCAGAAUUGCUAUAACAGGUGAUGGGUUCAAUCCAUAUGGUAUGUCAUCUAAUCCAUACAGCUGUUGGCCCGUAUUUGUUAUUCCGCUGAAUCUCCCUCCCGGCGCCAUAAUGCAACGCAAGACCAUGUUCCUGUCGCUUAUAAUUCCGGGGCCUGAAUAUCCGGGGAAGAAUUUGAGUGUGUUUAUGCAGCCAUUGGUGGAUGAUUUGCACCAUUCUUGGUACUUCCCGAGGUUGACAUACGACCGACAACUGCAGAAAAAUUUCUUGAUGAAAGUUUGGCUACAAUAUUGCAUGCAUGACUUUCCCGGUUAUGCCUUGUUCUGCGGAUGGUGUACAAGUGGAAAGAUGCCUUGCCCAGUGUGCAUGCAGGCCUUGAUUUUCAUUUGGCUGAAGAAGGGUGGCAAGUAUGUUGCAUUUGACCUGCAUCGACAGUUCCUCCCUCCAGACCAUCCUGAUAGGGAAGACAAGAAGAACUUCACAAAAGGCAAAGUUGUCCAUGAAGUAAACGAGAUUCCAACGUUUUCUGGUGCGGAUGUGCUUGCUCAGCUAAAAGCUCUUAAGCCUGCCGGUGAGGGAAAAGGCAAAGGCAAAGGUGUUGCCGCAUGGUAAGCUACCGGACCCGAACGAUGAUGAUUACUACAACAUAAACCCCAUGACAUAUGAGGGAGUGUUCUAUCAAGAGGAACAUGAUGACGUGGUCCGAAACAACGAGGAUGAUGACUUGGGUUAUGUUGACCUGGACCCAAACGACGACGACGCACGGAUUGAUGGUGAGGCAGUUGUGAAUCAAAGAGACAUAAUUAUGCUUGAAAAGUUAAAUGAAGACGCCGACGAUGAGGAAGAGCCUCCACCUCCGUCAGACAACGAAGAAGAUAUGCGUGAUAGUGAUGAUGAGACCGGUCCACAAAUAGAUUACAAUAGUGAUGAUUCAUAUGGGUUCUAGAAAAUGUAAGUUCUUUUAAUGAUCAUUACAAUAGUAUGCUUAAUGUGCUCUUCUGGUAUUAAUGUUUUUCCUGUAUGCUUGUUUAAUUGAUAUCCUUACUAAUUGUUUAUUCUCUUCUCAAUGCAGGUUUAAUAAUCAUGGGCAAGUCCAGCGGCGCUAGUUUCCUCAGUAAAUUUAAAGGACUUACUCGGAGUGGACGAGCCCACAAGGUUCCCUCCCGACUACGCGAGGAUGACACCUCACAGGGAGGUGGAGGGGUCGGGGGAGGAGACCCUAGAGGAGGAGGCGGUGGGGGGAGAGCCCCUAGAGGAGGAGGCGGUGGGGGAAGAGCCCCUAGAGGAGGAGGAGGUGGGGGGAGAGGCAACCGGGGCAAAAAACUCCGGGCCGUGUCUGAAAUAGGAGGGUCUUCUUUGAUGCCCUCCUAUACAGAGGCACCUUCUGAGUCUGAGGAGGAGGAGUAUGUUCCUGAUGGCGAGGAGGAGGAGGCCGAGGAGGAGGGUGAGGAGGAGGAGGAGGCCGAGGAGGAGGGUGAGGAGGAGGCCGAGGAGGGUGGAGGGGAGGUUGAUCCCGCGUUGUGGGGUGACUUGCCACCGGGUUCUUCGCAGGGGUGGCUGCGUGGUAAUGCCGGACUACCUACACCACCUUCUAUCGAGGAGCACAAGUGGCUCAUUGAACCUGUGGGGACAGAGUAAGUGCCUCUCAAUCAUAUUUUCAACACAUGACAACAUUUUCUUAUUGUACACAUGGCAAUCAUUUGAUUCUUUUGCAAAAACUGGAUCCUUCACGGAAAGGGCCGUAAACCGAACGGCCUUAUCACUGUCCUGUUGAAGGAGUUUUGGCCUGGCCUAUUCUGCCAGCGGCCAGACAGGGACCCGCAGCAGCAGGUUUUGGCCACGAGCUGGGCCCACUACGAGGCUUGCAGCAACACGGAGUACGGGACGACCGCUAAGGCCGUGAUCACCAAAUUUUGGGUAAGUUCUCUUCUGAAUUACUUGUCUUCAGUUUUGUUCAUAGUUUAUCAUUGAAUCACUCAACUCAUGCCUUGUUUGCUUUUGGUUUUUGCAUGAUUGCAGCAACUCUAUAGAGUUCUUGACGAGCACAAGGCCAGAGCCGACGUGGUCUUGCUUGCGGCUGCGAAGAAGAAAGCUCGUCAGUUGCAGUACGAGGUGCGCUGGGUUGCCGUCUCGCAGUACUACCACUACUACCUGCACCAAAAGAUGCCCAAAACUCAAGCGCAGAAGCAACGACUUACCUUGAGCAAGGAGUAGUUCAUGAUGGUAACUAUUACUAACUUUUCAUUGUUUCAAGCAGUCAACUAUAUGUUUCGUGCUCACAUGUCAUGCUUCCAAAAUUUGCAUAGGUUGUUCCUCGUUGGUGCUAUGGAAGGCAUGACGGAUGGGCGAGUUUGGUGGAUAGGUGGCUCGGCGCCGAUGCAGAGUUUGCUGCCAAGAGCAUCAAGGCCCGGGCUAACCGUGGAGACGACGGGACACACGGCCAAGGAAACAGGAACCACUGGGGCUUCAAGGCCAUGAAGGUAUAUCUAUGUGCAUGAUGCAUUUUUGUUCUUCUUUACAUCAUGUUCUUAUGUAUGGUUGACUUCUAUUUGGCGUUGUAGGAGGACAAGUUGAAGAGGCCGCUCUCAGACAUGGAGUCGUGGAAGCUGGCCCGCGAGCGGAGUCAUCGCAAGGAGGGAGAGAGCCAGUACUACGGCAAGACCGAGGAGCACCUGGGGUCUUACAUUCAUCACUAUCAGGAGUUGCAUCCGGAUGUUCCUGUUGCUGAGGUCGCCCAGUCUCAGAUCGACGACACGGCGGUGGUGGCCAUCCAGGGGAAGAAGAAUGGCCGGUAUCCGUGUUUCGAUGGCUUGAUCACUCCUUCGAUCUCGUACACACGGCUUCGGGCUAGCAACCCGAGCCAGUUAGAGAGUACGGGGCGUUCACAGACUCCCUUAGCCCGCCAGCAUGCUGUAAGUACUUCCUCCUUAUCUUUUUCUAUCUUGCAUUCUCAGUUUAUUUUCAGCAUUGCUCACUUAGAAACAACCUAAAUUAUGUAGGCAUAUAAGGAGUUUGUCGAGCAUAGGAAUCUCGAGGUGCGGGAGUACUUGAAACGAGUGAAGGCAAACGAUGAUUACAACCGUCAGAUGAUGACGGUUAGUUUUGCCCUCUUAAAACCAACCUAAAUUUUUGCACUUUCAUUCCUUCUGAUCUUCUAGUUUGCUUGUUUAACUAACAUUCAGGCUAUGUUGGCGUCUUGGACUAACCGCACGGAUCCACCACAAAUGGGACCCCCACCACCACCUGCGGGAGAACCCCCACACGUGCCCACGUUCGAUGAAUGGGUGGCACUAGGCAGUGAUGGUUCGGUUAGUACAUUUGCCUAACUACUAGCAAACUAGUUCUCGUUCAUGAAACACUAUCAUAUCAUAUUUACCGUUAGAAUCUUUUCUGAAACAUGUAGGGGACCGGUGGCUCGACUCCUGCUCCGUCGACCCUAGUCACUCCAAUCUGGCAGAGUGGUGGUGGUCGCGAUGACGGUUUUGGCGGAGGUGGUGGUGGUCGUUUUGGCGGAGGUGGUGCUUUUGACGGAGGUGGUGGUGGUUAUGGCGGAGGUGGUGCUUUUGGCGGGGGUGCUUCAUGAUUCCGUGCAUGUGGCCAUCGUGCCAUGCCUUUCAUAUUCGUACUUUUGUCAUGUUUCAUGUCUUGCACUACUUUUAUGUUCAUGAACUUCCAUCGGUGAUGAUCUUUAGAUGAUGUGAUGAACUUGAGUAUGUUUAGAUGAACUUGAGUAUGUUCACAUGAUGAAUUGUCAUAUUUCUGCAUAAUUUCAUAUUGUUCUGUUUUGAAAUGCUGUCAAAUGAAUUGGAAAAGAGAAAACAGGGAAAAUAAAAAAAAAACAAAAAAAAACUAUGCCUACGGCAAAGCCGUCGGCAUAUAUACGCCCAGGAGUUACCAGGGCUUGCCACGUGGCAAACUAUGCCGACGGCUUUGCCGUAGGCAUAGCCCUGCUGCCAGGAGAAACCAGGAGCUGCCACGUGGCAGACAUAUGCCUAUGGCAAAGCCGUCGGCAUAGAUUUCCAUCUAUGCCGACGGCUUUGCCGUAGGCAUAUGUCUGCCGCCAGGAGAAGCCGGGGACGACACGUGGCGCAGGNNNNNNNNNNNNNNNNNNNNNNNNNNNNNNNNNNNNNNNNNNNNNNNNNNNNNNNNNNNNNNNNNNNNNNNNNNNNNNNNNNNNNNNNNNNNNNNNNNNNNNNNNNNNNNNNNNNNNNNNNNNNNNNNNNNNNNNNNNNNNNNNNNNNNNNNNNNNNNNNNNNNNNNNNNNNNNNNNNNNNNNNNNNNNNNNNNNNNNNNNNNNNNNNNNNNNNNNNNNNNNNNNNNNNNNNNNNNNNNNNNNNNNNNNNNNNNNNNNNNNNNNNNNNNNNNNNNNNNNNNNNNNNNNNNNNNNNNNNNNNNNNNNNNNNNNNNNNNNNNNNNNNNNNNNNNNNNNNNNNNNNNNNNNNNNNNNNNNNNNNNNNNNNNNNNNNNNNNNNNNNNNNNNNNNNNNNNNNNNNNNNNNNNNNNNNNNNNNNNNNNNNNNNNNNNNNNNNNNNNNNNNNNNNNNNNNNNNNNNNNNNNNACAACGCCGACGGCUAAACUAUGCCGACGGCUAUCCCAUGGCCGUCGGCAUAUGCACCUAUGCCGACGGCUAAACUACACCGACGGUCUGACACAUCUACGCUGACGUGAUCUACGCCGACGGGGCUAUGCCGACGGCGGCCGUAGGCAUAGAUCUAUUCCGACGGCAGAGGACCUAUGCCGACGGCCAUGGGCCGUAGGCAUAGCCCGCGAGUCCGGUAGUGGAUAGCCUCAAGGCCGACGGCGGCGGUGCGGCGAGCGCCAGUCAUGCAUACGUGGGGACACCAGCAAGGCCGAACGACCCAAAGCCGGCGACUACUUUGAAGGUGGAGGAUAGAGGGACGGGGAUCGACGGCAGCACAACGGAGGCGGUGGAGAUGGCAAGGUCGGCGUGCAGGCGUGGAGCCAGAUUUUGUACUCCGAAUGGAGAUUUUUCUUUCUCCUCGUUGGAGGGAAAGGGGGUUGACAUACUCCCUUACCACGAUAGCUGCAAAAUACCGGACAUAUUUAAGAUCAAUUUCGAAUUUAAAACUUCCACACUUGGAUAUACUCCCCCGUUCGUAAAUAUAAGUCUUUUUAGAGAUUUCACUGUGGACUACAUACGAACAAAAUGAGUUAAUCUACAUUUUAAAAUAUGUUUAUAUACAUCUGUAUGUAGUUUGUAAUGGAAUCUCUAAUACAGACUUACAUUUAGAAACGGAGGGAGUAGAUGUGUAUUGAACCCUAGUUUAGCGAUACCCUGCUCCUAGGCUCCUAGCGUAGUGGAACGUUCCUUAAUCCUGUAUUUUUUUCCAGUGCUAAUUGAAAGAAAAGAAAAGCGCCAGGUUACUCAACGCGCUACCUGCAGACGUAAAGCACGCGUACAUACUAUUGCGCCGGAACUACCUGUGUGAGAAAUAAUUAACAUCGUGGGCAUCUCCAAUGUUGUUUGAACAAACAUGUCGUUAGAUGGUUUGGAGAACAGUGCUCUCCCCUGCCCAUUGGAAUUCAAGUACUGGGCAUGACACCGAUGCUCGCAUUUUCUUGGAUUUAUUUCAAGGCAUCCGAUGACAUAUGUUCUAUGGAAGGAAACGUUCCAUCAACUACGAAUGCAUCUGUGACGACUUCGUCAAUAUCAAAAUGAUGUGCUGGCUCAGUCUCUGAGAGAUGCUCAUAGGGACAGCGUGUGCAUGCAUUUAUAGAGGUGUAUGUAUGCAUGAUGCAGAAGAAAGCCGAGCAGCUCCUUCACAAGCGCCACGAGGCGGCUGGCCAGGGCUUUCACAAUCCCCGCACCCUUCAAUGAAUAUCGUCCGGUUUUUAGUUCACGGACUUAAUAUCAUCCGGAUUUAUAUAAAGAUUAUCCAACUUUCAACGAAUAUAAUCCGGUUUUGGUAAAAUUCGCAUCUAGUUUGUUCAUUUUCACUAAAUUUCUUCCAAAAUAUGACCAGACAUUUACGGCUAGUUUUAGAUGACCGGCUCUCGUAUCCGUGUCCGUGGACUGUCCUCCGAUCCGUAGACGGGUGCAGUGCCUGAUUAGAAGGUGAGUGUUGGAGAUCUCCAAACUCAUCCAUGAUCGGGAGCUUCUGGCUGUCCUCCGAUGAGGCCUGGCUCUGGCCAGCCGCGCCGCCAACGGUCAUCGGCGCCACUUGCUAACGAAACCUUGACCUUGCAGCUAAACAAUGUGUAUGCGUGCUUGCGUGUGCAUGAGAGAACUUGCUGCAAAGUGGAGUACACACCAAUCGCAGGUGAUCGAUCGAUACAAAACUGCUACCUAUCCUAUUACUGCUUGGUACUGACAGACAGGCUCGUGACUCAAGCAGGUGCAAAAGCCUGCACAAUAUCUGCUGUACGUUGUAGCUCAGAUAUCUGUUGGGGUAGAUUUAAUCGAAAAUACUAAACCUACCAAAGGUUCGCGGCAGCUAUAUCUCGCUUGAUUGUAGCUCCCCUUGCCUGAAGCGUGCCGCGAGUGGCCUAGCACUACAGCAUCCUUUGCAUUUUCCCCCCUGUGUUUCUCCUUUUUUGUCAGUUUUUUCUGUUGGUUUAUCUUUGGUUUUCACUGUUUGGGGUCAGGUUUUCAUGCUUUUUUUCUUGUUUUCUUUUGCUUUUCAAACGGCUUUUAAUUUCUUCACCGCAUUUUCCUUUUUACAUCGGUUUUCUUUGGUUUUCAUUUUUCUUCGCCAUACGUUUUUUUUUGUUUCUUCCCCCUUUAUCUUCCCUUUUCUCNNNNNNNNNNNNNNNNNNNNNNNNNNNNNNNNNNNNNNNNNNNNNNNNNNNNNNNNNNNNNNNNNNNNNNNNNNNNNNNNNNNNNNNNNNNNNNNNNNNNNNNNNNNNNNNNNNNNNNNNNNNNNNNNNNNNNNNNNNNNNNNNNNNNNNNNNNNNNNNNNNNNNNNNNNNNNNNNNNNNNNNNNNNNNNNNNNNNNNNNNNNNNNNNNNNNNNNNNNNNNNNNNNNNNNNNNNNNNNNNNNNAUUUGUCAGUUUCCAUUGGAUGUUUUUCUUUUUUGUUUUGUUAGUUUCUUCAUGGUUUUAUUGGUUUUUCUAUUUUCUUGUUUUUACCCGUUUUCGUAUAUUUCAUGGUUUUUAUUGGUUUUUUCCUUUCUUUUUCCUCUUCGGUUUUUGUUGUUUCACUCUCGGUUUCCCAUGCUUUUUUUCUUUGUUUUUCUUUGUUUUAUCCUUUCUUUCUUUUCCUUUUUCAGUUUGUAUUGGUUUUCUUCAUUUUUCUUUGUACAUUUUUUGUAUGCAGCAAAUCAUUUUUAUAUACAUGUUGAAAAAAAUUUAAAUAUGUCAUUAUCACAUCUUCAAACGUAUAUGAUUUUGAUGUCUACUUUUCUGAUAAAUAUUGUACAUUUCUUCAACACAUCAGAAACAUGUUUUAUGUACAUGUUCAAUAUUUGGGAAAUACAUGAUCAACAUUUCUUAGAAAAACCACUGUCUAAAUUUUUUGUAUAUACAUUAUGAACAUUUUUUACAUACACCAUUAACAUUUUGGAAAUUGAGGAUUAACAUGUUUUAAAGAUAUUUAUUUAUGUCUACGUUUUACAUAAACAUUGUACAUAUUUUUCAUAUAUUAGAAAAAAAUUCUUAUAUUCAAGUUUACAUUUUGGAAAUACACGAUUAACCUUUUUUAAUCCAUAUAUUUUUUGAUCUCUACCUUUUCCAUACAUAUUACACAUCAGAAAUAUUUUUUAUAUACACAUUUCACAUUUUUCAAAUACAUGAUUACCAUUUUGAAAACUUUUUUUAUUUUUUGUCUAUACUUUUUCCAUACGCAUUGUACAUUUUGGUAUACAUUAUUCCUAUAUAUUUUUUGCGUACAUCAAAAAUAUUUUUAUAUACACAUUUAACAAUUUUCAAAUACAUGAUUAGCAUUUUUCAACAGUUUAUGUAUACUGUUUUUAUAAGAAUAUAUUUAGAAUAUUUGGAAUUGUAAACAAAGAAAGUAAAAAAGAAUGAGGCCUUUUGUGGUUUGUGGCCUCCCGCGCUCUGGGUCGGCCCAAGCUAGCGUUGGCUUCAUGUGAGGCUGCCCUAGGUCUCGCUAUAUGUGAGACAUAGGCGUGCCCCGUAAGGUUUUCUACGUUUCCUACUUAAGGGCAUCACCAACACCGACUCGUAAAUUUUCUCCCGCAUCCGUCCGCGGACUUAAGUGGGGGGGGGGGAGGGAGGGGGCAGUCCACGGACACGGAUGCGGGAUGCAGUCAUCCAACGCUAUCCACACACAUUUCAAACCUGGUUUCAAUAGACCGAACGAAAUUCAUGCAAACAGGCUGAUUUUUCAUAUAAACCGGAGCACAUUCAUUACAAUUUAGACAUUUUUCAUUAAAAGAGCGAUCGGGCGUAAACCCAUCCUACGGAUGCACUCGUCGUCCACUUCCUUUGUAUUCCGCAUCGGCGACCACAUCCUCCAUUUGUCGUCUCCAUGAGCGGCGGGGGGUGGGGGUGUGGGAUUCAAGACCCGUGAAGUAAAGGUGCGCUCUCCGUGAGGACUUAUAGAACAUGGGAGACAGACCAGCCCACUUGGGACAUAAUGCCCUACUCAUCCUCGGAGGAGUUCGCGGCCCGUCGUUCGCCAGUGGAAGUGAGGUCCACGAUGGAAAUGGAGGGGCUGGCUCUCUAGUCGUCCCACUGGCUCUAUCUCCAAAAUGAGCUAUCACAAUGCUAAUCCUAAACAGAGGGGGGAGGAGUAUAUAUAGUCUAGGGGGUGAAUGGGUACAAGGGCCUCGGCCCGAAACACUGUGCACAGACAGGCGUUGGACAUUCGGACGUUGUCGAUCGGCGGGAAUGGUCCUGACGUCCCGCGUUAUGUCUCUAUAGAGUCAACGUCAUAUUUCCGAACGGGGACGGUUGUCCGGUCGUCGGUCGUCCGGACGGGCUCAGAUUUCCGUCGUUUUCGUUCUGGACAUGUGGACCGGAUUUCUGGAGACGGUGGGAUGUCCGGAAGCUGGAGCGUGUCUGUCGUCCGGGAUUCGUCGGAUGUCCGGCCACUGUAGCUUUCGUCAGCUGGCCCUUCUGGUUGGUGGAGUCUCCAGGCAUCGGACGUCCGGAGGUUGUCGGACGUCCGUGAGCCGUAGUUUUCGGGCAGCUCUUCCUCUUGGUCUUCGCACUCGGUGUCUUCGCCAUCUUGUCCAUUGGGUGUAGUUGCUCCAUGGAUUUCCUCCGAGUACCUGAUCACACACAAGGUCUCCGCUUGAGAUAGCAGCCAUGUCUCACAUGUGGAAUGUGUUAGUUCGGAGAGGAGCGAGUUCACCUUAGCUUCGAUAGUCCUUGCUCGAGCUCUAGUCAUUGGUCGUUGUGGUGCCGUGAGAGACGAAGGUAGGUCCACGGGGAUGACCAAAGGAUGCUCCGCAUCACACGGGAAGUAGUACUGGGUUUGCAAAUAGACCACGAGCCCACGGGAAGUAGUAGUACGGCCUAACGCACUUGCCACUGACCCACACAUAUAUUCUCGCUAGGGUUUGACAUAUUUUGCCCCUGGCUACUGAGAAAGAGAAAGAGAAAAAGAAUAAAGAAAUAGAAAAUGCGGCCUAGGGUGGACCAAAUCCUACAUGGCGCACUGCUGGAACACACCUGCAAUCCCUCAUAUUGCCCAUAUAUAGGCUGAGAAUUUGGUGUGCCGAACAACACGGACGUUUAAGGGGGCUUUGAAGAGUCCGGUUAGAUCAGCUAUAUCCUUCUGGUCAAUUUUGGGAGUCCUGGUGCAAAUGCUCUAAUCGGAGGCAAAUAAGGCACGAGCCCACUGAAAAGUAGUAGUACUGGGUUGGCACCGUUGACAUUUACACAUUUUAUUUGCGACAUAGUACGGCCUAACGCACUCGCCGCUGACCAGCGCACAUAUUCUCCAGGGUUUGACAUCUUUCCACCAUGUCUACUCCACCUACACAUUAGCCAUGGACCUGAUCUGAUGUGCUACUCAAAUCCAUGGCCACCGCGUGCGCUGGAACAUUCAGCAUAUCGACGUGGAUUCAUGGUGUUCUGCUGCUGCUGCUGCUACGGCUCUCCUAGUAGUAUGAAAGUAUAUGAAGUUGACGACAUUGGAUUUGCGUUGACGACGUUAUCGGCCGUAGCAGCAGCCGAAAGGUGGUGGUGAAGACGAAAGAUAGUCGAAGCUAAUCAACUAGAGGGCGUUGAAAAUGGCACGCAUGAAAUUAGCCAUACCACUUGGCGUGUAGUCAAACAGGGAUAUACUUGUUAUUUUGCUAGUUGUAUCUCGUGUCAUCGCAGUAUACCAAGAGGCCAAAACUACUAGGACUGCCCGUGCCAAUGCCGGAUGAUGCCCAUAGAGGUAGAUUGUGUGUGCCUGCGUUUAUAGAGGUGAAUAUAUGCACAUAUAUUAUAUAUAUAGCGUGCAUUUCCAGCUCCUCCAUUCCUUCUCAUGCACGAUCUAUCUACUCCUAUAUACCAGUAUCAUGGAAAGAGGUAAACAGGCCACGAGCACUGGAUUCGCGCCGUUGACGUACGGCCUAACGCACCCACGCGCACGUAUUCUCGUUCAAGUGGCGACGUCCACCUGCACGUGACAGAUGGAGAUAAAAUCCAUGCCCACUGCAUGCGUACACCAUGUGCCAGGCGCCGGGCGGUGGACAUGGAGGUGCAGCAAUGCUACAAAGACUAUCUCGCGAGGAUGACGCACUGAUGGAGUGGCGACGUACCGCUCGAAACAAAGACGAGGUGCAGAAACCGACAUGGACGGGAGGCUAGGCUAAGCGGACGCUGUCGAAGAGUCCUGUCAGGUUACAGAGGUCACUAGAAUAUAUGCGUUUUCAAUUUACUUGUUCUCGAACUUGUGAGGUCAAGCCGUCGAGCUAGUUAUUGAACAUAAGACUAAAAGAUGACCCAUUGUAUAGAUUACGUGCUAUCAGAUUUCCGUAAGUGUAGGAUUUUUGCCCUAGGAAUGAGUAGGAAGACGGGGAAAAGAGAAAUGGAUGGAUAGAAGAAUGUUGCCCACUUCCUUGCUUGAACCACCAGCCGGCUGAUCAGUAGGAUCGUCAUCUGGUGUAGUGCAGAUCAUUCAUUCAUUUAGGUCUUUUCAACCACUUUUAGUUGGGAAAGGCCGCUGUUGUCACGUCCAUAUCUUGUCCUUCCCUUCAACGUUACGCUGGUAGCUGCUUUUCUUGAUGGGCAACCAACAACAAGCCUGCUAUGUCGUGCUCUGCUCGUGGGUCGUGGUCCAGGAUCCAAGUGGUGCCGAUCGAGUCUCCUAGCUUGCUAGAAAAGAGACCAUGUCCACAGACCACAGCUAGCGCGGCUACUGCUCCGGGAGCGCCUCCCCGCCCCCGUACACUGCACCCGCUUCCGUCCCCGAGCCGCCAUGGCCGUCGCCGGCCAGUUCCAGAAGGUGCAGAUCCAGCGAGAGGACACGGUGAGCGACUCCUCAGUUCCUCCCUCCCUCCAGCCUCCUCGGACGACCAUCCAUCACCCGCUCUGAUGGUUCUCCAGCUACAGAGUUCACUCCAUCCAAUGACCUGUUGUGCCCUACAGUCUUGGCGCUUUUGCUCCGUGCCUUAUUGCAACUUACUGCUAUAUAAGCAGAUCUGACGCCGUACAUCUGCAGACCUCCGAUGCCUAUGUUGUCGGCAAACAGAAUACCCCUGGAGUUGUAGUGUUGCAAGAGUGGUGGGGCGUCAACAACCAGGUCAAGAACCAUGCCACCCACAUCUCCAAAAUCGGCCAUGGAUACAGAGCGCUUGUUCCAGAGUACGGCGAUCUAUCAUAUCCUGUCUUGUGCUUCUUUCUUUGCACCCUACCAUUUGUUCAAGACAGACUACUCGCAAACGCGGACGCUUCAACAAGUGCUACCCGAUCCGCUCGAUCGGAAUAUCAUCGCCCGGUCAAAUCUCAAAUGCCUUGUGCGUUUACACUUUUCUUUUUCAGUUUGUACCGUGGGAAGGUCGCUCUGGAUGCUGCCGAGGCUCGCCAUCUGAUGGAAGGGCUAGACUGGCAGGGCGCAAUCAAGGACAUUCAAGCCUCAGUGAAAUGGCUCAAGGGAAAUGGAUCACCCAAGGUAGCUUUUACUUCUGUUAACGUUUCAAGAUUUUGUAUAUCUGUUUUCCUUAUUUGAAUUGUAUUAUAUAUUCUGGGUGGAUUCACGUCAAAUCAUUUGUCUUUUGCUACAUUUGUUGUGCUACCUCCCUUUGUAUGCAUCAAUGAAAAUCUGUUAUUUAACUAGUCAUCUUGUCUGUUUGCUGCGCAAACCUUGUUGCGCGAUUUUGACGGUUAACCAAAUUUGUAAGCUAUGCUCAUUACUGAUAUCUAAGAUCUUGUUACAAAAGAAUCGAUUUAGGUUCAUGGAGGUAACACAAUCCUAAGUUCCUAACACAUAAUGUCAGGUUUACGUUCCGUUGAAAUACAACGCGUAAGAUAGUAAGUAAUGGUUGACAUAUUUUUUUUCUAUUGUUUUUAGGUUGGUGUUACUGGUUAUUGCAUGGGAGGUGCCCUGGCAAUUGCGAGUGGAGUUUUGGUACCGGAGGUUGAUGCUGUUGUUGCUUUCUACGGGACGCCAUCGUCGGAGCUUGCUGAUCCUUCUAGGGCUCUGGCUCCAAUCCAGGCUCAUUUUGGGGAGCUCGACACUUAUGUCAGGUUUGCUGAUGUGACCGUAAGACCUUCUUUCACCUCAGUCUCGGCCUCGUUGAAUAAGACAAUAUUGAGAUUUAUUUUCUUUCCAUAGGGAGUUAGAAACUUGAAAAUAGUUUGAUAAUUCAAAUGAUAAAAAUUAAAAUAGAUAGCAUUGCUAUGGUGAUGUUUCAGGCGGCCAAGUCGUUAGAGGAGAAACUCAAAUCUUGUGGGGUGCCACAUGAAGUGCACAUAUACCCUGGAUGCUCCCAUGCCUUCAUGAACAACACAUCACCUGAGGCUCUCGAGAAUCAGGGAGCCAUUGACCUGGCAUGGUCCCGCUUUGCUACAUGGAUGGGUCGUUUCCUGUGAUCUGUAUCAGAGCCAUCACCACAUUGUCUGAACCUGAGGUGUAUAUGGACUCAGAGUCACGAUGAGUAAUGAGAAUAAGAUGUUCAGUUCGUGCGUACAACAUGCAGUCAUUGUCCAAUCCAGACAAGUUUUCUUGUGUUAUGCUACGUGAACUCGUCAUGGUUAUGUUUUGUGAAUGAUGAGCUAAUUUGAUGUGCAUUUCUCCAUUUUAUUUUUGUCAUUGCAGGCUGCGUUGGUUGGUUGGUUGGUUGGAGUUGUAUAGUGACGCCGCACAUCGAAUUGGGGAGAGUUUCUUGGUUUUCACUCUUUCUUGGAAAGGCAUUUUUAUCGUGAAUGCUUGCUCUUUUCCGAAAAUAUAUUAAUCUUUUGUCAUGCUUCCAGAGUCACGCGGCUUUCACUCUUCUUUGCAAAGCAUUUUGGAUCGUGAAUACUUGAAAAUAUAUAGCAAAAGUUACAUAACACAAAUAAUUCCAGAAACGGUAUUGAUGAUGUUGAUCUCCCCCUAUAAACCUGGUCAAAGUUUAAACCAUACAACUUCUGUGUGCACUAUGUUUUUAAACUUGGAACAAAUCUAUGCACACUAUUUUUAGAGGGUUUUUACCCCCAAGGUUCCCGUUAGUGAAAGGUGUUACCCGAUUUAGCAAAAAUUCUAAAUUUAUGUUGUUCAGUUUUUUUCUCUCCAAUUUUUACUGCGGAUUUGUGCAUGCCAUGUAGGCGGUUUUUUAUCUCUCUUCAGUUUUCUAUACCUACUGGAUCCCAGGUGCAGAGAACAGUCGGGCUCAGCCCAGAGCGUCCAAAAUUAUUUUUGUUUUCACGGGAUCGGCCCCGGCGAACAGAAUCCCGAGGCUCCCCCUCGUGGGCCGGCGGUCGACGACGAGAUCUUUCCCGGUUCCCGGAGGAGCAAAAGCGGCGGCCGGUUGGUUUCCUCCGCUGUGCUACUACCUGCACAGCUGCACUGCGGAGCACGCGCUCGCUCUCUCCGCGUUGUCGCGCACGUCGGCAGGUCGGCAACCGGCGAAAGGGCUACCUGCCUAAUCCGACAUCUCGACGCGCACGGCGAGGCGCCAUGAAUCAUCGGCCCUGCGUGUCAUCCAGCUUGCUUUAGCUCGUGUGCACGCGGCAUCCGGAGAUUCAUGCGUCCGCGGAACAGCGACUUGUGAUUUGUGACGACGUACAUGAUUGAUUGGUGCAUCAACAGACAAGGCAAGGGAAAUAUAUAGCUCGAUCCUGAUGAGGAGGGCAAGUUCGCAUCGGAAAGCUACAUGCCGUCCGUCCGUCCGGCCACAAAUGUGAAAUGUCCGGAACAGCGACUUGUGAGUUGUGACGACGUACGUGAUUUAUUGGUGUAUAUGCAUCAUCAGAGAAGACAAGGGAAAUAUAUAGCUCGAUCGUGAUGCGGAGAUCGUAUAUGCAUCAAGUCCGGCCGUCCGGAGGCGCGCGGCUUUCCGGCCACAAAUGUGAAACGUCUGUCUCCGCGCGCUGAUUGCUGCCUGCUGCAGUCUUAUUAUCGAGAUGAAAUGUUCUUUUAGCGAAAGGUGACGUUGCUCUUGACAGCGAGGUGCAUAUGCAGUUUUCCGUCGAUCUGACGUAUGCAUUGUGUUAUGCCACUUAGAAAAAAUCUUUAGAAAAAAGAUGGUGCAUAUGCAACAAAGUAACAUGUCAGAAAUGGCGGCUGAAUCGAUAAGUUGCAUUUUCUAUUUAGAAAUAUAUAUAUAUAUGGUGUGGUGUGCCCGUGUGUGGACAGAGUAACACACGUCGCCGUCGCCUUUCACAACCUCCAUUCUCUUUUUUUCUUCAGGCACGCGUGUGAAAGCGGCGAGGAAUGUGUAGUUUGGUUCGAUCGCGAAACCAAUAAUUCAUUUGCCGAACAAAACAAAUUCCCAGGCAAUUCCCAAGCCAUUUAAUUUAGCGUACAACAAAAGCAUCAACAUCCAUUUCUCUUGGUCAGGAGCACUAUAAAAUAGGGGGGUAAGUGCGCUUUGGGCCAUUUCAAUUAACAUCUUUAUUUCCCUUGCUGGAUCAAUUCAUUCGUCCAUCCCUAAGUUGGGCGUAUCAUCAAAUCAAAAUAAUAAAAAAGUCGUAGACUGAAUCAAACUAUACCAUGGUUUCCGAAGAAAAAGAAAGAAGGUGCAACCACGAAGAACUCAGAAGAAGGUUCUCUUUCUUGUGCACAAGAAGCAGUGCAAACUACAAGAAGAAGGCAGGGGAACAAGCACGGAUCUAAAAUCUUUCUGCAUUUAUAUCGUCGACCGGCAGUGGCCGCUUGCUUGCUUAUCGUGCUAGUACAUGCACACUUGUGUGGCAUGGCGACGGCCAAACUUCAGAGCAGCGGCAGUAAAUCUCAGCUAAUUAUGUUUCUAUUUAUUACAAAAGAUUGAGAGAAAGAGGGCAGGGAAGGGGACCUUUUUUACUUGGGCAUCAUCGAUCUUCCACAGUACACCGCCGGUCGACGGUCAAACCUCGACCGUCGGCCGGAGCUGGUUGAUCUGGGUGGGUGGCUGGCUAGCAGCGGUAGACGAGGUAGUUGUUGCGGCGGGGCUUGGGCAUGUGGCAGAGCAUGACGAGCACCAGGGCGAUCAUCAUGGCCAGCAGGAACCCCUUGGGGUCCAGCCCCAUGCCACCAUCGCCGCCGCCGUCGUCGUCGCCACCGUUGCCGCAGCCGAUGCAGCAGCAAGAUCCCGACCCCAUGGCGACGGCCCCCUUUCCCUUCACCUCAGAGACUGGCACCGGGAGAUAGAGAUGCUGAUCUCUCUGAAUCUUGUGAUGUUCUGUUGCUUCGACUGUGGAGAAAGGGGGUGGAAGCAGAGCACUUGUUUACUAGCAGCAGCACUGACAUCCAGGCGCACGGGUCCAACACGGCUAUCUAGCUGGGCGGGCGGCUAGGCCGGUCCGAGGACGGCAGUCGGCAGGCGUAUGGACACCGGGGCCCACAUGUCAGAAGACGGUUAACAGCAAGAAAACAUUGCUCAGCAAAUCUAUAUCUAUAUCUAUUAUAUAUUAUAUAUAUAUAUCUUAUAUCUUAUAUCUUUACCUACUAAUAAAGCAAAUAGCGCUUCUGCCCGUACGUCAUAGAAAUUGCCCUCGAAUUUGGCAUACAUUACCCGCCAUGCCAUCCAUAAGUAACAUGAUUCGGAUUUAUUUCAAAAUCACCGCGGGUUUAUUUCUUACAGGGCGAUACACUUAUAUUACACAAUCCUCCGGUAGCGCAAUGGCCAUGGCGUCGGCCUACCACGCAGGAGACCAGCGUUCGAUCCCUGGUUCCUACACCUUUUUGCCACGCAGGUCUUCCACCCCCGCGCGCUAAUAGGCCGGCCACGCAGGUCUUCCACCCCCGCGCGCUAAUAGGCCGGCCCAUAAUUGGCUGGGGGUGGGCCUGUUUACUAUUCUUUUUUUUUUUGCUUUUUAUUUCCUUAUUUCUGUUUUUAUUUUUUCUUAUUUAAAUUAAUUCAGGAUUUUUUAAAGAAUAAAAUUCCGAAAAGCUGCGGGAUUUAUUGAGAAGUAAUAAAAUAUUCAUGACUUCAAAAUAUUUUUUGCAUAUCAUAGAAAAAAAUCGGAAUAUCAUGAUUUUUAAAAUAAUAAUCCAGUAGUCUGGAAUUAGAAAAAAAUGUACAUGGCGUGCCUCCUCCUCCUCGACGCGCUAAUGGGCCGGCCCAUGUGCGGCUGGUUGCGCCUGUUUUCUGUUUCGUUUUUUGCUUUUUACCUUUUUAAUUCUGUUUUUGUUUUUCAUUCUUUACAAUCAUUCAGGAUUUUCAAAAGAACCAAAUUUCAAAAAUCUGCGAGAUUUAUUGAGAAAUCAUAAAUUGUUCAUGAUUUCAAAGAAAAAUCGCAUAUCAUAAAAAAAAUCACAAUAUCAACUAGAUGUUCAUGAAAAAAACAUGAUUUUUUUAAAAAUCCAGUAUUCAAAGUACAUUCUGGAAUUAGAAAAAAAAUAUACAUGAUUUUUUUGAAAUGUUUCCAAAAUUAAAACAGGCCCGUAAAUGAUGAACAAAACGAAACAUCGCCUGCGUCGAAGUUUUAAUAGGGGAUCUGUAGAGGUCAAUUUAUGAUUUUAUUUAGUCCCUCGCAUCGGGUAAAAAAAAGGUUUCCAUGUUUCGUACGACGCUGAAGCCAAAAAAUAUUGACACAAUUUUCUAUGGGUUAGUUUUUGUAAACUAUAUAAAAUGACUAAAUGUCUAUUUUGCCUCCAUACACAGCUAUGUUUAUUCUGGUACCAUGGUAAUUGUUAUGACAACCACCGCUACGCUAGGUCAAGAUUAUAUACAUCAUUCAUCAGUCUAGCUUAGGUAGGGUUCAUCAAUGCAGUUUACUCAGCCAAAACUAAUUCGUUGUGGCGCCUUAGGAAAUCAAAUCAUGGUCAAACCAUCACUUUUUUUUNNNNNNNNNNACUAUUAAAAGGAGGUGAUAUUCUUGGUUUCGUCCCGCUUAGAUGAUUUUAGGUGAUUCUGAUGUGGUACUAAACUUUUUUGCGUCCAAAUCAGCGUGCCGAACGCACAGUGAUUGGACCGGCCCAGUAGCAAGCGCGGAACGCAAGGCCCAGCCCACUAGCAAGCGCCUAACACAAAAAUAAAACUUAAAAAAGCUCAGCGCUAUCACGGAGGUUCGAACACAGGUGCUCCCACUCCAAUAUGCAUGCUACUAACCACCACACUAAUGGCUGGUUGCAGCGUCAAACUUAUAAGAAUGCAUUGGCAACAGCAUAUUCUCGCGGCCCUGUAUGCUUGGCUACACGAUGAGGAUAUUACAUUUUAUUUUGACCGGUCAAAGGUUUGGAUGUUGGUUCGCUUCUAGAGCCGAGCAAAAUAAUCUUCGUGCAGUGCUCCACGUAAUCCUUUUUUUGGCCUUUAUGUGAGCACUGCUCCACGUAGUCACCAACGAGAAAAUUGUUGUCUCUUGGCACAACUAGAAUAGCUCUCCUCCCGUUCACUAUAUAUAUAAAAAAGAAAAAUUAGGCGCAAUGUACGUGUAAUCUGAUCACUUGCUACAUACCCAAAAUUUAAUUUAAAAAUGUUCUAAUUUUAUGUGAUUCUGCCUUUUGAAAAAUGCCAGUAGUUUUUAAAAAUCAUUCAUGAAUUUUAGAAUGUUUAUGUAGUUUUAAGAAUAUUGUUCAUGUAUCAAAACAAUGUUUAUAUAAGUUGAAAUGGUUCACCUUUUUCUCAAAAAAAGUUCAUGUAAUUCUAAGAAGUGUUCACAUGCUUAAAAAUAUUUUGUAAUGAAAAAACAUUCAUGCACUUUAAAAAUUCCAUGUGAUUUAAAAAUUAUUUAUUAUUUCAAAAAGAUUGUUGAUGCAUUUUGGAAAACAAAUAUACAGUUUAAAAGUGAAUGGGCCUAUGAGAGAUGGUGUAUGCAUGCACUAGGUGCAUAUUGUAGCUUGGGGAAGGGCGCCCAUCACCUCCAGCUCGACGAGAUUAGUAUAUAACUAUUAGACAUUCACUUACGAUGAUGUUGUUCAAUGGCAGGUGUGCGUGGGUUUAGGUAGUGGCCGACAUCAUCGCCUUGGGAUUGGCCACGUUCAGACGCAUUGUGACCAAUUAGACACCGCGACCAUGCAUGGUUAGUGAAGGCAUGAAAGGGUAUAAGUGACAACACGGAGGUGGACUAUGUUGAUAUAGAUAAGGACCAGUUGAGGGGUCUUAAGUUGUGCUUAUUAUACAACUAUAGAAGCAUGUAUCUUUUUUUCUCCCGCUGCAACGCACGGGCAUGUUUGCUAGUAACAGCAAAAAAAGUUAGAAGUUUCGCUGCACUCCAGUUGCAACUUGCGAGAGUUGAAAAAUAAAAAAGACGAUUGCCACUGCAUUCCUGUUGCAGUUUGCAGAGGUUCAUGCGUGAACACUUUCAUUCCUGGGGCCCACAUGUCAGGCACUAGAUGUAGAAGGAAAAAAAACAAAAGAAAAGGAAGGUUGUCACACAUUCCUGUUGCAAUUUUGCAGGUGCUCAUGUAUAAACAAUUUUCUUUUUUUUCUUUUUACUGUGUUGGUGGGAUGUCACUGUCUGAAAGCAUUGGAAUUCCACUUCUGACGUGGUUUCGGACAAAACUUCACUUCAGAGUGGCGCCACCCAGUUCGACCGAAAGCAACUGGUAUCAACCAAAUGAUUCUAAUGAAGACCUAUAAAAUGCACCUCAAACCAAAGUUCAGGCCAUGCUGUACCAGGAAACCAAAAUAGGUAAAAACUUUCAGAACAAACGUGCUCAGAAACGUGGAUAAAAAACGAGCAUCGGACCGAAAGGAAACGGACGGAUAGACGAACGCAACAAGUGUGUCAGAAAAUCAAACAGAGGAUGACCACCUAGCAGAACAAAUAUACACCGCUAUAACACUAUUGUGCAGUGUUUGCAAGGUUUCUAGAACUGCUGUGCUGGGGCAACAAAACCUGGUGUUACGACAGCACAUCCGUAUGAUCCCCUUGAUGCUGCUAUUCACUCAGGGUAACAAGAAGAAUUGCUCAACGUGUGCGACCGGGUACUAACUGUCGACGCCGAGAAACUCUGUGAAGCUUGGGUAUUUGGGCUCCCACCCAAUGUCGGCCCGGGUUUUCGAAUUCUCCAUCCUCUUCCCCAAUGGACCGUCGGUACCUGAAGUGAAGGUGGAUUUAAUGUUAUUACAAGAAAUGGUGAUGUAUGCGCACCGGAACACAUCAAAUUUUGUGUUUCAAUUUUCAUGUAUGUGAAUUUACAGGAAGGAAACUAACCAGUGAAACCGUGGAAUUCCGUGUCGAAUUUCCCACUUUUGUUAACAGCGUCCAUUAUUUCUUGCCUGCAAAGUUCAAAUUCAUUCAUUUUAAUUAAAAGAACGAGUUGCCCUUUCAGCUAUUAGCAAAGCUAUGAUACACCGACAUAAUCGAGGUAGACUAGAUGAAAACCAGUUGAUGUAAACAAGCAGCUUAGUACUAACCUGGAAAGAGGCUUAUUGUCACAGCCCAAAAAUAUACGACCCCGAGGUCUCUUUUUCAUAAUGGCAAUUGCAAGGGACGCAGCAUCCUGAACAUACAUAACAUAACAUUACAACUCACACAAUGCUGAUCGAUCUGACAUACUUUGCUUAAUUAAUCAAUAGAGUUGUUUCUGUUUGUUUGAUCUGACGUACUUCGCUUAAUAAAUCAAUAAAGUCGAACCGUUUGCUAUGAUAAAACUGAAAAAGAAUAUAAAAAGGAUGAAACUGGGGUAAAUUUAUAUGCUCAUUUAACCUCAUAAUGGAUCUGAUUGAUAAUAUGAUCUGGUCGUGAGUCCAGUGUUCCCUUCCUCAACCAGAAAUAAUGAGCACCUCUAUCUAUUUUGUGUGUCUAAGUCAAGGAAACACCGUAUGAGUUAUAUUCAUCUUAUAUUGUAUAAAACCUCUGUGUUCACGCUUGCAAUUUUAAACAGCCAAUAUGUAUAGGUGGAGGAUAUAUAAAGUCCUGCUAGCCUGAGAACACAGCCUCCUGCCUCCAGAACAACAUUUUCUGCUCUAAGAAGAACAUCAGUACGAGGACCCCUGCCAACAGGAAUAGAUGGACAAUCCUGCACAAUGAAGAGAAAAAACAUGGUAAAAACAAUGAAAAUAAAAUUCAGAAAAUAUUAGGAGCUAGUUGUGUGUUUCUAGGUAAGAAAUGCUUCAACUGCAAAAAUAAAAUAAGACAUGCUUGUACUCCCAAACUAUAACAAAUCUGAAGUUGCAUACUAUAUAGACUUGUAAAUUUCUAUGUUCAUUUAGCGGAGCUUUUAUCACCCAAAAGAGCAACAACUGGUAGACACCUUUGAUCUCUGCAGAAUAUGCAGUCUAGCAGUAAUACCUCGUUGCACAAUCUGUUGUCACUGCAGUCAUAAAGAGCAGUACUCGACGUAAACAGGAAAGAACCUUCUCCAUUCCAAUUUGAGGCAGCCACUCUGCAUGCAUUUUCUGAAAUGAGGAUACAUCACAUGCCCAUGAUAUGCAAUUUGUUAAGCAUAAGAUAGAUGCACAAUGCACAGUAUCAUAGCAAAACUAGUCUAGUUACUUUCUACCAUUUCAUUGAGAUGCACAACUUUGCAUUUUUCCUACAAAGCUAGUGUAAUUCAUUUAACAAUGGAAAAAAAAUAUCCUACUAACCAAAUUGAUGAUGCACAGAGGUGUGUUGACAUCAGAAAAAGAUUGGUGGCACCCAUCUGCAUAUAUUACUAGUAAUAGCAGAUCCUUACAGAUUGCAUAGAAGAAACUGUCCAAUAAUCCAUGGAACAGUUUUUGAUAUAAAUCAUAAAAUCUGAAGGGCCUGGUGGAGUUAGUUGUUCCAGGCACAGUGCACAUCUAUUGUUCAUGUGACCUAAGGUUCAUAUCAGCAAUUAAACUUCCACACUUCAAAGAAUUCAGAUUCCACACGGACGUUAGAUCUCAGCCCAAACAGCCCAGACAUCAAGCAGUGACCAAAAACUGGAGAUUGGUACCAAAUCUACUGCAUGGAGCCAUCAUUACAAUCACACUCGCCUACCUCAAAUCGCCAGGGUAAUCAUCAGAACGAGAUGGGGGUGCACAGAAAAUAACAUAUGGAGCCUUUUGAGAGAUAGUGGAUCCCUUCAAGGAGGGAAUGAUGCCAAUAUCGGUUAGCUCGCUGUGAUGGUCUGUGCUUGCGGUCUGGCCAUAAACUUUGCAUCCUGGAUGUUCCUAUAGAAGACGAGGUCAAGUACUUAAUUAGCCGAAACAUGGUUAUGUUAAACAGGUUGAUGUCGGAAAGUGGUUCUUUAGCCACAGGUAUUCAUACCUUUAGCCACUUCUCGGCUACCAGUCGCCCAAGCACACCUGGGCCAACGAUGAGUAGAUCGUUCUGGGUAACAAUGUUGGCACCGGGCAUCGCAACCCCUGUAUCUUGGGAUAGCCCUAGCAGCAACAAAGAAGGAAAUGUAAAAGGUAACUUAGUUGCACACAUCACUGUUGAAAGAACUCGACAUCUGGAGAUAAAGAGGACGUCUGUGGAAAGAACUCGACAUCUGAAGAUAAAAAGGACAACACUAGAGCCUCCAUCAGUCAUAUAUAUGACCUUCAGCACAUAGUAGCUAGAUAACUUAAUUUACUUCACCAGGUACUGAGAUCUGUUCCAUGUCCCUUGAUAACCCAUUCCACCAUGACCGGAGGCCAUAAAUUGCUUGCCGCAUACAGGUCGGGUGAAGUAACUACUACCUAAUGUCGGCGCUUGCGCGACCCCGGAACCGAAGUAGUAUAAAUUAGUUACUUCCAAUGGAGUAAAAAUGGGCAUAGUGAUAGCUAUAACACUUGUGAUUUGGAACUGACAGGAAAUGAAUUUCAGAGCUGGACACAGCAGCUCAGCAGUGUAACUGGAGUGUUACCCAGUGGCACGGAGCGCGAGGAACAGAAGGGGGAAAGACAAGGGUCGGUGAGAAAGUUACCAAGGGAGGCGGCGGCGACAGGCGCGCGGCGGGCGAGCGAGAGGAGCCGAGCUGGACGGCCGGCGGUCGGGGUGAGGGGCCACACGGAGGAGGGGCGGGAGGCGGUGGUGGGUGCGGGGAGACGGAGGGCUGGGGUCCGGGCGGGAACCAGGGCGGCGGCGACGGCGACAUCCAUAUUGUCGCCGGCCGUCGUGGAGAGCUGGGAUGGGGAUGGAAAUUGGAUCGGUUGACGAGGAUAAUGGUGGCGACUUUGGUUGGGCCGGGCCGGGCCGAGUUGCCAUCCCAACCAAAAACGGAAUCAGGGCCCAGGAUGCAUAGACUGGCAGACAGACAAUUGAAAGUUUUUGCCUCAAAAAGAAAAGGACAAUCGAAAGUUUGAAAUCCAUUCGACCACGUCAGUCGAACUGCCUACACAUGUACAAUUUUCUACUCCCUCCGUUUCAAAAUAAGUGUCAUGGUUUUAGUUUAAAUGUAGGGAGUACUUGCCUAAGAAAAAAGAGUACAAUUUCUUCAAAUAAUACUAAUAACAAUAAUAUACAUGUACAAAGAUUAAGGCCACUUUUUAUUGUAUACUUCAGAAAGUACCCCCAUGUUUUUACACACGUCUUGCAUUGAUUGAUACAAAUACACAAACACAAGAACUAAGCUAAGCCAGUGGCAUAGCUUUGAGCAUAAUCCAAGAGGGGGCCAGGGAGCUAAUUAAUAAGAAAGGAGGGGCUAAUCUUUAGUUUAAACACUAGUUAAACAUAAGUCAUAAAUAAAACAUAGCAUAUUUUUCAAUGGAUGCAAAAAAUAAGGGGGGGGGGCAUGGCCCCUGUUGGUCUACAUGAAGCUCCGCCACUAAAGCUACCUGCUUGACAUCAUUUCAGUACCAAGGAAACAACACAGCCACAUAGUGCUACCCUCCUCCAUUUCGAUCAUCUCGACCAUGCUAGAAGGGGUUUGCGCGGUUUGGAAAGCAACAACCGUCAAUCCAUCCUAUGCCGCGCCACAACCAGAUAAUCUUUUCCUUCCUGGCAUGUGUUCUCCACCUUCAGAAGAGCACGGGACCAACCGCAACAAGUUACCUGCAAGCAAAUAAAGUCAUAUACACGGAGGCGCAUCAAGGAGUAAGGGUGGGCAAAGUCACAAAGACAGAUCAGCCAGAGAUGAAAAGGUCGCACAAUGUGACAUUCAAAGAGGAUGGUGGAUUCACUCUUUUGGUAGCAUCCUUCUGGGCAAAACCAUAUAUAUGAGCGUCUUUUACUCUUUUAUACUCCCUCUGUUCCAAAUUACUAGUCGUGCUUUUAGUUAAACUAAAACCACUAAAACCAUGACUAGUAAUUUGGAACGGAGGGAGUAUCAUAUAUAUACGCCCUCCUCACGUUGUUACGACAGAGAAGUGGUUCUGGUUCAGGAAGCUUUAGGUCCUCCUGUGUUGGUCUUUUUCAGUGUAGUUUAUGCGGUUUCACUAGUAGAAAAGAGGGCUUUGGUCCACCCCGGGUUAGCCCAUUAGUCCCGGUUCAGUCUAGAACCGGGACUAAUGGGUGCAUUAGUCCCGGUUCGUGCGCCCAGGGGCCACGUGGGCCAUUUGUCUCGGUUCGUCUGGACCUUUUAGUCCCUGUUGAUGCCAUGAACCGGGACUAAAGGGUGCGAUGACCAUUAGUCCCGGUUCGUGGCACCAACCGGGACUAAAGGGUUAGACCUUUAGUCCCGGUUCGUGCCUCCAACCGGUACUAAUGGUGUUUGAGGCAUUAGUACCGGUUCAUGGCACGAACCGGGACUAAAGGUCCCAUUUUCAAAACUCCCACCCCCCUCAGUGGAUCGCCUUUUCAGUUUUUAAUAAAAAAAAGGAAAUGAUGAAAAUGUCAAAAAAAUAAAAAAAAUAAGUUUCCCAUGUGAUAUGUGGUCUAGUUGUUGGGAAAAUUUGCAAAUGUGAAUUUCGACUUUAUUUGCAAAAUCUCUCUAGAAUUUAGUAAAAUGAGCAUAACUUUUGCAUACUGACUCGGAUGAAAAAGUUUUUUAUAUGAAAAAUCAUCUACUCGAAAAGUUACAUCCAAAUUUAACUGGGGAAACCCCGUUAAACAUUUUCAAAAUCCUCAAAAACCUAACAGAAAAAAGUUACAGGGCUUUUAAGAUCUAGAGUGGAAAAAAUCGAAAAAAUUUCAAACUGUGGUCAAACAAUGGCCAAACUAAUUAUUUUAGAAUAUUAGUGUUACUAAAUAAUUAUUUCAGUUAUUUUGAAUUUUGGUCAAAUCUGGUCAAACUAUGGUCAAACAAUGGUCAAACUAAUUAUUCAAAAUAACUAUUGUUUUUUAAAUAAUUAUUGUUUUUUAAAACAAUAGUUUCAAACUCAAACAGUGAAAUGUGUCACUUCAUGCUCAAGCAAAAUUUCUGAGGGUUAAUAGGAUUGACAUCGUACUAUUGUCAGGAAAACAACAAGUGCAGACUUGGAAACGAGGGAGAAUAGAACCCGGAAGUUAAGCGUGCUCAGGCUGGGGGAGUGGGAGGAUGGGUGACCGUUUGGGAAGUUAGAUGAUUAGGAAUGAUGAGGGGUGAUUAGAGAUUAAAGGAUAAAUUGAGCAGUGAUGAGGGGUGGUGAUUAGAGAUUAGAGAUUAAAAUAAUUCAAAAAUUUGAAAAUAAAAAAAAAUCAUAAAAUUUCCUUUAGUCCCGGUUGGUGUUACACGUGGCAUUAGUACCGACCCUUUAGUCCCGGUUCAUGAACCGGGACUAAAGACCCUCACCAACCGGGAUAAUAGGCCCUUUUUCUACUAGUGUUUCCUGGUCGUUGCUAUUUAUGUAGUUUAGUUUAGUUUGCCUACUUGGUUCGGUCUGGUUAUAAGGCCGUUGUAUUCAGACUAGGGACCUUUGGUCCAUUUCUCCUUCUACUCCCUCCGUCUCAUAAUGUAAGAUGUUUUUUGGGACUACACUAGUGCCAAAAAACAUCUUAUAUUAUGGGAAGGAGGGAGUAUAUAUUUUCACACGCAGGUCUUCUGCAUGGUUCGUAGAAAAAAGAUGCAUCUGCGCGCGCUUCAAAUAUCUUGUUCAAACAUUGAUCAAACGAUGAAAAGGUAUCAAGGGGUAAAUUGUUACUUCAGUUUCUUGCUUAAAAGCAUUAUAAUCGGCUGACACAAGCAACUGAGAUUUUUUAUUUUUUUUUAUAAAAGAGAGCUCCCUCUCCGAUUUCAUUUAACAGCAAUCAGUGUCUUGCAAGCAACUGAGGUAAAAGCAAAAUGCACUGACACGGCAUGCUUGGCACGAGAUUCGCCUGGACUAGCCCAGCCAUGUAGAGAAACGCACAGCCGUCUUGCUUGUCUUCGUCCAAUGGCUAGAUGAAGAAAUUUCAGUCAAGGAAUCAUCAACAGGGAUCUCAUCCUACUCGAAUUCGGCUGCUACGAGAGAGGUGACGCUCAUCACGGCCGUGCUCGCGACGCGGCAGAGCCACAUGAGAUAUCACGCGGCUCGAGGGGAAGCGAAUAUGUGCCCAUCCAUCCUCUGGGUGCUGCAGGACAUGCUUCCGUCAGCUCAGAUUAUGCUCUUCUUUUGCGCCAAAUAUUCCAAAAAGACCACAAAACCGCGACAAAUCGCCUGCAAAGAAGCAAAGCAAAAGCUUAGGUACAUAAGGUGGAAAAUCUUUAGGGUGACGGCACAGCAUCUUUUGAAACAAAACAAUAUGCACAAGCGUCUUUUGUAGGCCCUCCUGAAGUUGUUCGGGGAUUCUAAAUUCUAUUUUCUAACAUUCCAGUCUAGCUGUUUUCUGAAACUCAAAACAAUUCAAUCACAAGAAAUCAACAUGUAGGUAUAUGCAAGAACAGUGGAUGCAAGCAAGGGAAGAAUCACUGUUUUCUAACUGGUGGCCUGCUAAUCUCCCUGGCUAACUCACACAACCUACCACUAAAUAGAAUCUCCUCAACUCACCAUGCGGCAGCUAAAAAAACCUAUUAACCUCGACACCACAAGACAUUUAUGCAGGGAGGGAAGAUAAUCUGUUUUUUUUUCCUUCCUUUUAAACUUUAUUGACUGGUCCAGCUAACAAAAAACUUCUCCUAAACAAUUAUUUAACUCACAAGAGCAAUCAUUUUUGGAACAAAAUAAUUCAGCCUUGCCUUGUUCUGUUCUACGUAUCUGUCUGUUGUGCCAGUAAUUCUUUUUAACUCUAUGGCUACCAAAAACUCUUAUGAGAGGGAUGUGCUCCUUUUCAAAUAUAGAAGUUGCAUGAGUUUUAAAGCACGGAAAAGCUUGACCCUUCCCAGGUAACCAAACUGUUCUUGGGUCGUUGCAGUUUGAAUUUUUAACAGAGACUGAUCAUCGACAGUUUACCUGUGGCUCGCUGAUACAUCUCAUGUUCCACGAGGCCAACCAUCUGGUUGUAAUUGUUCUUAAGAUGCCAAUCACUCAGCAGCAAGUUGACAUCCCCGUCUUACUUGAAUGACAUCUCUCCGUCUGCCACACCCUCAAUUGUAGUCCAUAUACAUUCGUGCUGCCAUGAGCACCCUAUAGUGCCCACGGUAGAAAUAUGCUCCUGCUGCAACCAAGAACAAACCAUUAUAAAAUCACAAGUCUACCCAAAAGAACAAUGUGUUGCCACGGUUGACAUUAAUCUUGCAAGAAGUUUAGUCACAUGUUAUGAACAAAGUACAGUUUCUCGGUGGAUUUUCAUGUUCUAAUUCCAUUCUAAAAAACUAGACCUUGUGAUUCAUUUGCAUUACACUUCAAGUGUUCUCUGGUAAAGCUGAAUAUCAAUUUUCAGUUUCAAUCCGAUAUUAUUAAGCCAAAUACUCAUGUUCAAUACAACCAAACAUCAUUGAAAUAUAUUGCAACCAGUACAUGCAUCAAUGUGCGGGGAAUCAUCUACUUACUAUCAAUGUGAAACACAAUUGCUCAGGCAGCCAGGCUCCCCUCUUUCUUAAGCACUCAUUUCUUGUGAUAUCUUUACCUUCCGCGCAACAAUAAAUGAGUUGAACACCUCAUCGCCCGCAGGAUGGUGCACAGCCAGCACUUGGAACCCGCCACGCCCGAUAUCGUCCAGCUCCACUACAGGAUACAGGAACGCUCGCGCACCGUGGGCGCUUCGCGCGACGAGCACCGCGCCAUCUGCCAUGUGCUUCCCCAAGUGCGCGAUGGUGUUGGCCUUCUCCUCGGACGUCAUUCCCACGAGCGCCGCCAGGAAGACCACAUCAUACGCGCCGAGCUCAGCCGUGAGGUCCGCGACUUCGGCCGUGUGGAACGCCAUGCGCGCACGCACGCCCUCGUCCGCCGCGCCGACCAGCUUCAUCGCACGGCCAUUGGCCACGCUGCACCGGUCGUAGUUGUCGAACCGGGUGUCCGGCAGGUGGUACAUCGCGAGGAAGAGGGAGCUGAACGGCAGCGGCCCCGACCCGAUGAACGCCACGCGGGCCGGGGCCGCCACGUGACCGGCAAGAAGAUCGUGCUCGAGCUUGCUCAGGUUGAUGUAGUUGUCGAAGUAAGGGAAGCGGCCGAGGUGGUCGAGCGGGUUGUCCAAGGCGGUGAGCAUGUUGGAGUAGUGCGCCUCGAGCAGCCCCUCGGCGGCCGAGCAGAGGCGGAUGAGGUCCUGCCGCAUCUCCUGCGCCUCCGGGCCGAGCUUGGUCACGUCCACCGGGCUCGACGGGACGCACGCCGCGACCAGCUCCGUGAAGAGCGCGUCGACUUCGGGGGACGGGCUUAGAGACGCGAGCUUGGAGAUGGCGGCGUGGAGGCCGGUGAUCUUCUCGACCAGAGCAGCCACCUCGCUGUUUUCGGCCUCCAUGUCACUUGAUUGCCAAGUAGGUAUGGCUGGUGUUGUAGUGCUGUUCUGAAAAACAAAUGUAGGCUGUAGUGCUAUUGAUGGAGCUGAUGCUUGAUACAAUAUGAAGGGAAAAAAUCAAUGGAAUUGCAACUGAUUGAUGGAGCCGAUGCUUGAUAUAAUAUGAUGAGCUGUGGAGAGUGAGGGGUGGUAUGUAGCAUGGAAAUCGUAUGCGAGGCACGCUUCAUGCUUGCACAGACGUGACGGCCUGCUCCAUGCGUCUAAUUUCCGACAUGCGUCAUUGCAUCUUGCUGACCAGCUCAUGAUUUGGUAGCUACUAGAUUGACAAUAUACUAAAUUCGGAAUGAGGGGAUAGGUGGAUAAAUUUAGUCCCUGGCAUGUGCCUACGGGUCUGGAGGCUAAGGCCCGGGGAGAAGAACAAUGGCAGAUCCACUCCUACCUAAGUUGAAUGUAAAAAAUUUAUGUCUAAUUCGGUAGAUCUAAGCUAGUAUCUAAGUGAAUCUCAAAAUAGAGACAGUGGAUAGUCGAAAACCGACUGAACUGGCGAUGCGGGACUGAAGAAGUUUCAGUGUCACUGGCCUUACCCGUCGCAGCGGGGCGGCCGGCGUCUUCUCCCGCUCCACCGCGAGCCCCCUUCAGCCGUUCGCGGCUGCACAAGUAUCUCUCCGUCGUCGGGGAGGGCCCCCGAAGCGGAGGAGGGCACCGGCUGCGUCGAGACCGGCCGGUGCGGCGGGAUGACGCGGCCGCCUGCAGCGGGGCAGCUACGGCAAGGAGGACGGUGUGGGGAGGCGGCCGGAGCUCCCUCGCGCUCCAGGUGGUGGCCGGCGUUCAGAUCGGGAAGGCUUCUUUGGCUGGAGACCGGAGAGAGGAAUGGGGGAGAGAAGAAACCCAGCUUGACGACAGCCUCAUCGUGUAUGUUUUUUCUUUUGAUUGAGGGAAUAUUAUUAUUCCAGGAGUUGGGCUGGAUUAUAUUCUAUAAUAAAUGAGUUGGGCCGGAUGGGCUAGGCAGGCUAUGGUACCAACUUACAUGUGGGGUCCACUUUACGUUUUAAUCUCUCAUUUCUUUCUUCUACCAACUGACAUGUUGGAUCCACGAGGUAAAAGUGGACGUGGGCUGUCAAUGCCGUGGUAAGCGACACAUGGCCAAUUUGGCCGAUGAACAGAGUGCCAAGUAGACUAUAUGACCCGUGAACAGAGCGACACGUGCCCAAUUUAACCGGUCAAUAAAGUGCCACGUAGAGUAUUUACCUGGUUAACAGAGUGCAAUACGAUGCUCUACGGUGCCCGGUGAACACUCUACCGUGAGCCGGUGCUCGUAUACUUACCCCAAAAUGUAUAUAAUAACCAUAACAAGCGUAUUCUAAAGUCUAUUGACUGUAUCAUGUUUUCGCUUUAAAUAUAGUGGCCAUUAGUGUAUUUAUGUCAUUACAAUACUAUCACGCCAUUUAGCAUUUGCAUUCAGACUCUUUUUUUUUUACUUCCAUUUCCUUCAGUUCCUCCUGAAAUUGAUACUUUUACUUUUUUUAAAGAUCUAUAAUUGACCUCCUACACUUGUCCGGUAGUGGGAUAGUGGGUGUGUUUUGUGAGUAGGGCGUUUUGAUGCCCAGACUCAUCUGCACCCGGUUAGAAAAUAAAUUGUAAAAAAUUCAAAACAAAUUCAAAAAAUUCUAAUUUUUUUGUGUGGUAAACAAUUUGAUGCGUGAGGCCCGCUCCAAAUUUGAAGUCAUUUGGAUAUUUGAGAAGCUCUCAGCGAAAAAGACAAAUCGGACCAAAACAGUACAUGAACAGUAAGCAUUUUUACAGACUCCCAUUUUGUCUUUUUUGCUGAGAGCUCCUCAAACGUCUAAAUGAUUUGAAAAUUGGAGCGAACCUCACGCAUCAAAUUGUCUACAACACAAAAAACAUUUGGAAUUUUUUGAAUUUUUCUAAUAUUUGUUUUGAAUUUUUUUUCGUCAACGUGAGUGCAGAUGAGCUCGGGUGCAGAAAUGGAUUUUCGGUGUGUUUUGGUCCUAUUAUUUAAGCCCAUGUGCGUGAGAAGAAAAACAAGAAACGGCACAAAGUCUGUGCGUGCCAUGACUAUGUGUGUGUUCUUCUACCUCUUGUGUGCGUGUGUUUUUGUUUCUUCUCCUGGGCAAACCCCACAGUGGAUUCGGUAUUAGGCGCCACAUUUAAUCUUCGUUGUGCCUUUAUCUGCUUAUUAUCCGCAAAUGAUGUCACACCAAAUGGGCCGUGUGUGAGAUUUCAUUUUCAAAUUGUGAAACUAGUUGGGAACCAUGCAACUCCACGAAUAGGGAAUAGCCCGAACUUGUAUAUGGAGCCGACAUGUAUUCGGAAUCCAAUGAUAAAUACAUUCGAGAUAUAAUUUAAGGGUCCGACUAUAUCACAUCUAGAUGUGAGAUAUGUCAUCCUACAUCAGCAGAUAAACAAAAGACCACAACAUAGUUAUAUCACAUCUAAUUUUUGCGGCCCUCUUUAUUUAUUUUUUCUGUUGUUGUUUUUUCUUGUGUUUAGCUUGUCCAGCCCACUACAUGCAAAAACGCCACUAGAGAAACGAUGACCGGUCGCCCAGUCUGGUCGUGGCAUGGAACGAUUAAUCAAGCAAUUGAUUAUGUCUAGCAAGUAGAUGGCAAAACACUGUGUUUACAUGGGCGUUUUGAAGUAUAGUGCAGAGGAAGUAAAGUUGGUUAGUCAAAGUUAGACCCAGUUGCGAGUCUAUAGUGGACUUGCAACCGGGACAAAAAAUGUUAGGCUCUAGUUGCAAGUCGAGGGUGGACUUGCAACUAGGACAAAAAAAAAAGUCGGAUCCUAGUUGCAUGUCGACCGUAAACUUGCAACUGGAACAAAAAGGUCAGGCUCAGUUGCGAGUCUAGGCUGGACUUGCAACCGGGACGAAAAAAAAUCCGGUCCUAGUUGCAAGUCGAGGGUGGACUUGCAACUGAGACAAAUAAAAGUUGGGUCUUAGUUGCAUGUCAAGCGUGAACUUGCAACUGGAACAAAAAAAAUUUAGGCCUAAUUGCGAGUCAAGGGUGGACUUGCAACCGGGAUGAAAAAAGGUCCGGCCCCAGUUGCGAGUCGAGGAUGGACUUGCAACCGGGACAAAAAUAGUCGGGACCUAAUCGCAUGUCGAGCGUGAACUUGCAGCUGGUCAAACCCAGUUGCGAGUCUAGGAUGGACUUGCAACCGGGACGAAAAAAUGUCUGACCUCAGUUGCAAGUCGAUGGUGAACUUGUAACUAGGACCAAAAGAACCGGGUCUAGUUGCACGUCGAGCGUGAACUUGCAAUUGGAACAAAAAACGUCAGAUCCAGUUGCGAGUCUAAGGUGGACUUGCAACCCGGACAAAAAAAGGUCAGGCCUUUUGUGUGCAGUAGAAUAAUAUUGAAAAAAAUGAAUAAGGUUAAGGUGAUUAGAAAAUGAUAUACUUAGUGUAUCAUUGGCCUGCUCAAACGUCGACCCUAUCUACUUCCAAAUCGCUUUUAAAAGGAAAAACUGAGCACUGCAGCCCAACAUGCGUACAAAACUGUAGCUCAAAAAUGAACUAAACCAAAACGAAAACAUCAAACAAACAACGCAAGAACCGGGCGAGCUGGAAACAGCGUUACAACCGCUCCACACGAGCAUGUGUGGACAAAAACGUGAAUCUUAAAGUCUUCGAUUGAACGGUUCUGGACUUAGAUGUAAAAUAGCUAUUUUACAUUUAGAUGUAAAAUAGCAAAUCUGAUAAUUUAAAUGCAAUCUUCAGAUACAUAUAUAGGGAUCAAGAUUUUUUUCCCUUCUAUUAAGAAAUAUAUGAUCCUGAUUCGAACAAGAAUAUGGCAGUCCACACCACUACAAGUUGAGAAAACAAUAGUAAGAACAUAUAUUAAUCAAGUAAAUAAAAUACAUUCGUGUCACAAGUGCAAUAUAAGCUCCCCUCCAACAGAAGUGCAAUAUAAUUCGUACAUCAAUUACACAUGCUUAACAUAUAAUCAUAGCAGAAAGGAAGGACCUUAUUUAUUUAGUACGUACAUAUAACGAUCGGCACAUGCAUGUAUGCAUACAUUGACUCUUUAUGCGAUACUUUCUUCAGUGAUGUCAAUGUCGAUAUCAGAGGACUUGGUACCAUGAUAGAUACCAUCAUGUAACUGACGGAUAACUAUGUUGCCACUGUACAUAACAUCCUUCUGCUUGUAUGAGAAGGGAACAUCAACAACAUCUUCUCUUGUGAAUAUGCUACAUAACACUUUAGUCAUCGGAGGCACAGGAUAUGAGUAUUCAUACAUGCGCUUCGUUUCUUGUAUCUUGGUUUCUCCCCAAUUAUACUCUCCAUGAAAGUCCAAAUGGCUUUCAGCUCCACCUUCCAUUAUAAAUGGCAAGCUAGCUGAGAUGUGGGCUUUGAUACCUGCGUCGAGAGUUAAAUUCGCAUCCCAUUUACUCUCUGUUCUGUCAUAUAGUUCAAUGGUAGGUUUGCCUUGGUGGGUUUCAUGUGUUCUAUUGUUAGAAAGCACCUCUGUCCUGGAGACAUUUUGGUUAGUGCUAGUCUUCUUUCCACCGACAUUGUACUCAACAUCAUAUAUCUCUCGAGACAUAACCGGUUCUUCAAUCUGGAGCAUUACUCCCGAGGAGUUGAUAUCAGUACCAGAAGCAACGAGGAUAUUAGAAUAGAUUAUAGUCGGAUCGGUCACACUCUCACAGAAUUUUCCAUUGCCGAGGUUUUGGAGUGCAAUGAUGUUCCCAUCCUUUGAGACCACCUUGAACAAUGUGUUAACAUCGCUGUAAAUGGCAUCAUGUGGUAUGAACGCGCCGAAGUAAAAGCCGGAGUCAUUUAUAGUGCCAAUCGUCCCAUUGAGGAGACUACGGACGCCACAUGUCCAAAACCUGCCUGAGGUGUUGUUUCUUAUGCGGACAAUACCGUAGUCGUCGGUGAAUGUCUCAUGGAUCACAUCUGGAUCUGUGAGAUCAGAUGAUGAAAACUGCUGAACCCAAUCAUCACCGCCAGUCUUGCCAGAAAACGAAUUCCGGUUCAUUUCUGUGAGGUACUUGCCAUUGUUGCCUUUAAAAGCGACAUAUUUGGGCAAUUCCUUCUGUUGCGACAAGCGAUGAACACUCAAGAGAUCUCUUACUCCUAGUUGCAGGUAGGCUUUGUUGCCUGGAAUAAAACACAAGUCCCCAGAGACAGAAACCCAGCCAACAUAUUUAUUUUGUUGAGAAUGAAAGCACCUGUUGUACAAAAAUAAUUAACAACAUCAGAUGAGAAAUUUUAAUAUGGUCCCUAAGAGGAUAAUUUAAUCCUAGCUGUUGAUAGAUCGAGGGUAAUUUUGACAAAACAAAUAUGGUAAUUACAACAAAAUAAGUAGGAAAUAUUCUUGAUGGGUUUGGUGAUCUGUCUUUUGAUGAAGACAUUUUCUCUCAGCCAAAAAAAUGUGAAUCUUCUUAUGGUAUGCAACACAUAUUUUUUGGUCCAGUCGGUGGCCAAAGUUUGACAAGAAUACCAGCGGGGCUUGUAAACCAGUCCACAAAAGGUAGUAAAUGAAGGAAACAUUUCGUUUUGCCCACCAAUUUUUUGAGCGAGUUCUGGUCUCUAAACUCCAAACAAAGACAAUUUGUAUCUUGAAACUCAAUACCAGAAAUAUAUGAUCUCGAACAACAAUUAAAAACAGUAUUUUUUUUGACCAAUAAAAUAGCGAUAGUUUCACAUAGGCUUGCAGCUCAACAAGGAAAAGAGGAGCAAACGAUAAAACUUUAAGAAAGCAGAAGAAAAUGGUAAACUAUAUAUAAAACAAAAGGUAGUAGAAAAUAAAAACAGUACAUUCUCAUAACGUUAGUACUAAAACUGGAGAAGUUUUAAUAAUAUAAAAACAGAUAGUGUGUGGAAAUAAAUAUGUGGAAAUAUUACUACAGACCAGGGAAUUAGAAAUUAUACAUAUCGCGGAAUUUGCAUGAAAUUAUGCGUGAUAUCUACCGAACCUCCAAUGAUUUAGUUCUCCUUUCUAGAGCUUCUGGUUUUAUAAAAACGAGAGACAGGUGAAGAAUGGUGGAUAUAUAUGUAUAUAUAUAGUGAACAGAAGAACCUGAUGUAGCCGCCGCCGCCCUCGCUGGGCCGUUUACUGUCACUAGCGACUUGGAAGUCGAACAAGGUGCAAGACGGCUUGGUCAGGUCCUCCUCCGGUUCGUCCGCGGUGGCGGAGAUGAACCAUGCACUGCCGCCGUCGGGCGUGCGCUGUUGCCGGGCGACCCAGUACUUGUUGCCGUCGCAGCACCUGACGUGCAGGAGGCCCUCGUGCUGCUUGGACGGCUCCAGGUAGAACCUCUCGGCCGGGGUUCUGGCUCCGUGCUCGAUGUCUCUAAGCUCGAUGAAACUGUCGCCGCUUUCCUCGUCGUGGACGGAGCGCAGACACCCUCGUUGCGCCGAGUACCCGAACAGGGAGACGCAUACCGGCGGCCCGGAGAGAGGAAACGCCACGCUCUCUUGCGCGCGUGAACCGUAAUAUUCCCCCAUGUGAGCGUGUAGUGAAUUCUCUAGUUGCGUUGGGUUGGGUUGGGUUGCGUUGCUGGGACUAAUCUAUAGGCGGCAUUUUAUAGCAGGCCGGAGCCCGAUCUGGGGACCAUUGCCCGGGUGACAAAUACAGCUCAUCUCGCUGAUCACGAUCUGGGGGCCAAUCACACACAACUCAUCUUGCUGGUUCAAUAAUGUCUCGUCUGGUUAGAUUAGGUGCAUUUUUUAGCAUGCCUAAAAAAAGAGAUUAGGUGCAUUUUCUAUCAUUGCCACGUGGCAUAUUCUCCAACUGAAAAUUACCGAGGCACUCAGCUCACUUUUUUUUUGCUAAGAAUUUUGAAUUUCUGCGAGAAUGUUGAAAUCAUCGAAAUUUCAUGAAAAAUAUGAUUCGGGAAACUGUCUCAAAAUUCGCAAAAAAAAAAAUCAGUGCGGGCGCAAAAACAUCAAAACUGCAGGAAAGUAUGAAUUUCAGGGUCGGGCAGUUUUUUAUAACCGUCAAAGUCUCAUAAAAAAUGCGACUUUCACGUACGGUGGGUUGAAAGAAAUCCUUAAAAUGAAGUUUAGUUCCCAAGUACCUAUUAUCUAGCAUGGUCACCUUGGUUGCAUGCAUCAUUCUGAUGCAUCAGGGGUUACCCUCCUUUUUUUAAAGAAAAAUCUAGCAUGGUCACGUAUACUGGCAAGAGAGGCGAUUGUUAUGAGUCAUCAACAGAUAUCAGUGACCACUGGAGCCUUUUUCUCUCUGCCAUUAGUUGCAUUUAUUACUACUGAUGACAGCAUAAGUCGCCACUGGCGUGACUAGACUUGGGUGUGUUUGGUUGGGCUCCAGUUUGGCAUUGGCGCAUAUAAGCUCGGACCUAACCAAACAAGAGGCGUAUAUUUGCCUUUAUUCGAAAGAACGUUGGAGUUAUAAUCCGUAGAAGGGAAGGCACGUCCUAAGGUUCUUUCGAGGUAUAUUUUCAAUCCCACGACUAUCCUACUCCUGCUGCUUGAAAGAAACUUCCAGAAACUUGAUUGCAAAAUGUCCAAACAUAGAACACAAUCACUGGGAGGAGUUCUUUGCUCAGAGGAGGAGUGAAGAGUUCUUGGAGAAGAGUCGCCCGGGAAAGGAGCUACGGUAAAGGAACAAAUAUGGAUACCAAGGUCUAUGAUCGAAGGAAAAAUACGACCACCACCUUGGCGGCCGUGGUUACCCAAGGAAAAGAUUACACUGGACCAGAGAGGACGCCGCACUAGCCACAUCUAGGAAACCUCUUCGUUUAGAAUACAUCGAGGAGGGGACUUCAUAAGGGGGAACACAACCUAUUACCCUUCUUUUUUUGCAGAGACACGACCUAUUACCUAGUUACCAUGGCAUCAAUUGCCGCAACCCCGGAACUCAAGGAAGUUCCGGGGUUCAUUGCUCCACUUGCAAGGAAGUGUUCGACCAUUUGGUAACAUCUCAACACAAUGUCUUUUCCUAGUUCAUUACUCCACUUGCAAUAUACUCAGCAAAAUAGCUUGCAUCGAGAAGACUACGCAUGAAUCGGUAUGUUCGUGAUAGUCAUCUGUCUUCCGUCUUUGGGCCAUCUUUUGUCAAGACCAACAUCCUUUUCCAACAAAACAGCAAACAUGAAAGUAACAUAGACACCGAAUGACAAGACUACAAGUCUCACGUGAUUCACGAAAUAGAAAUUUGAUGUAUCGAUCUGUCCUGGCAUGCACUAUUUAGUUCUCUUUUAUGCAUACGUGCGAUACCUAACCAGUUAGGUAAAUUGAUGCCUCCGCGGGGUGAGAAGAAAAUGAAGGGAGGCCAACCGGGGGGAUUUGAAUUGGUGGAGGCACAGGAAGAAUGAUUGGAGUGUGUGUCCAACACAACACACGUGGUUGUUAAUAGGUUGAGCUCUCUCUCUCUCUCUCUCUCUCUCUCUCUCUCUCUCUCUCUCUCUCUCUCUCUCUCUCUCUCUCUGAGCAGUAUUGGGUGAUAGAAUUUUUAACUUGUGCAAACGUAGCCUUCAUAUUGCAGCAUGUAAAAAAAUCAUAUGACAUAAAUGAUCCUAUAACUAAACAAAACAUAAAACUAUUCAGCCAUGAACUCUGGUGUUGUCCAUUUUACUUGGCCCUCUCUACCAAAACUACAAUGGUUUUGAUUGAUGUCACAUAUGUACGUGUAAUUUUUUUGUGAAACGUUGCCCAUGUGGUGCAAUAAAAAAUAUUUGUUCUAUCUAUCAAUAUUUUUGGAAAAUACAUAAAAAAACUGGAAAAUAUAGAAUCCUUCUACUAAGAAAGGUGAAACUUCUGAACGAACACAAAAUUAUGGAACAGAAAAAACCAGCAUACCAUUCACAAAGGAAAAAAAUAUGGAAAAUGGGAAGUGAGCAGAAGAGUUCCAAGUUUCAUAAAGAAGUAUAUGAAGUACCAUUAGAUAAUGAAAAAAAUAUUUAGGGAAGAAAUACAUAUUUUAAAAUUUAUUAAGAUGUAUUGUUUGGACGUUGUCCUAUGUCCAAAUAUUCAUGAAUAGUGAUAAAUAUAUUGUUUUCUUUAUUUCUAGAAUCGACAGUAAAUGGCUCAUUUCUAUAUCUCUAGGGAUUUACUACCUCCGUUCGGACAUAAAUGAUGUUGUUUUAGUUCAAAUUUAAUUUGAACUAAAAUCACAUCAGUUAUUUCUGAACGGAGGGAGUAUUUGUUAUCCAUGAUAUAUUUGUGUUCCAAGUUAUUUUAUUUGAUUUUAGUAUUUCUAUCUCCUAGUGGUGUCUCUUUUAUUCAUUUCUAUUUAUAAAUCUUCCCUUUUUUCUAAUUUUGUAUUAUUUUCCAACUUUUCCCUAUUGUUUCGUAGUUUUGCUCCAUUUUAAUUACUUUAUAUAUGGUUAUCUCAAGUUUGUUUCUUUCAUCGACAUGUGUUAGAUUCUAAUUCGACAUUUUUUCUCCAUGAUGCCUUUACGUUACCAAAAGCAUUCGACAAGUUGACACGUCUAAACAUAACCUAUUAUAAUGAGUUUUAUGUUACAUUUAUGUGUUUGUUUCAUUAUAGAUGAUUGUUAAUUUUUAUGCGUGCAUAUUUAUCAAUUAUCGGGAUUAAUAUGAGAUACACUCUCUUUAUUCACAUAUGUGCAAAGCAAUGCCAUCUAAAAGAAAUAACAGAUUUUGGUCAUCGGUAUUCUGUGGGCCCAGGUGCUAGGCACAUCCGGUGGAUCUUGUUAUCAGGAUAGGUGUAUUGCUACCUGGAAAAGGGCCCUAGAUUCUAUCACUCUUUCACAUGCAUGUCCAUUUCCAUGUGAGAACGAUUCGGCGAUGUCUCGGUGAUAAUAUACAAAAACAUUUUGUGUCGCCAACAAGAAGGGAGGAAAGCCAUCAAACAUUUUCCCCCUCGACAGCAUCACCAUGAAAUCCAACCAUUUAUUCAUCAGUCUUGAAAGCCUCCAUAGCUUCCUUUGCAAUUAUCAAGACCAUCAAGACUGGUCUGUAACUUGGUAUUCAUGAAUUUAUGAAAACAAAAGAUUAUCAAUCUUUGGGCCAUACCGGCAUCCUUUUCCGGCAAGGGUACGUCUAAGGAGACUCUGAAACAACAAAGAUGAAAGUAAUAUAUGCACCGAUUGAUGGAAAGUACAUGUAUGAAACCAGGACAUAUGUACCCACUACAAAAAACUCAUUUCUUAAUGCCAAAAUAUUCUGAAAAAUGUUUCACGCAUACAUCUUCACAUUUUAUGUGCGCACAGGAAGUUUCAUGCAAAAAAAACUUCUUCUUUGGCCUAUGCAAAAAAGACAAAAAAAAGUGGCGUGGCAUGUUAUUUAGAAGCACUGAAUUUGUCUUUUUCAUGGAGGCAAAAUAAAAAAGAAAAGUUUUCAUAAAACUUUGUGUCAUGAACAUAUGUUUCGAAGAUGUAUGCGUGAAAUUUUGUAUCGGAGUUUUUGACAUUGUAAAUUGCAGUUAAAAUGCAUUUUUUUUAAAGUGGGUUCAUAUGUUAGGGUGUCCCCACUCAACGAUUGGCUUGUAACUUUGGUAUUCAUCAAUUUAUGAAAACAAAAGAUUAUCAAUCUUUGUGCCAUUCUUUGUCAAGAUUGGAAUCCUUUUCUGGCAAAGGUACAUCGAAGGAGACUCCAAAACAGCAAAGAUGAAAUUACAUAGACACCGAUCAACAAGACCACAAAUCUCACGUGAUUCACAAAAUUUGACAUCGCGAGCUGUCCAAGCGUGCACUAUAAAGAUGUUUCUUUCUAAGUUAGUGUGAGACCUUUUUUUUGCGGGUGAACGUUAGUGUGAGACCUAACCAACGAAGAAAAAUCGAUGCAUCCACGGGAUGGGACCUGAAUCUGUGGAGGCGCAUGUAGACUGUCAUGAAUGUGUGUCCAACUCAACCCAUGUGAGAGGCAUGGUACGGAAAAAGAAAUAAGUACUUGCUGGUUGCUAUGUACCUGUCAUUGGUGGACCAAUGUGACAUUGCAAAUCUAUCCUGUCCAGCCAGCUCGCUGAGUAGGAGAGAAGGAACUUCAUGUCAAACAGAAGGACCGUGCCCCAAUAAAAUGUGAGUGAAUUCCGGUUUUUAUCCUCUAUUUUGACAUUUUUUUGACACUAAUUACCCCAUUUAGCGGGAUUUCAUCUGUUUUACCCCAUUUAGCAUAAGUGUUGCCACAGUUUACCUUGUUUAAAAUUUUGUGAGCAUUCUGACAUAUGGGUCCCAAUUGUAAGGUCCAACUAGAAUGCCAAAUCGCUGGGUUUUUUUCCGAUGGUUUUCUAUAUACCAAACCAGGUCGCCCUAGCUUCUCCCGACUGGCCAGGCUCGAUAUGACCGCACUGGAGCAGCUCGGGAAACACAUACUAACUCUCUACCAGUCAACAUAUUUGCUACUACGAAAAAGGGAACUUCUAAAACAUGAUUUACCUAGUUCAUUCUUCGCUAGGUAUGUAGAUAUGUACGUGCAUCAGAGGUGGUGAAGCAGUAUAUUUACACCACUUUUAAUCUGAUCCACAGAAUCAUUUAUACUUAAGGUCGUAUAUCAUAAUACUGAAGAAAAAAUACACGAUUUUAUAUCAGCAACAGCCCCUCCUAUAAUAUAUUCAAUGGGAACAUGCUACACUGAUCAAGUACAGUCACCUCAUCACAAUACUUCUUCGAACGGGAACGAGUAGUCUAAACCUAUCUAAUAUGCAUCCCGGACUAAGAAAAAAUCUAGCCACAAAAAACCUAACCACCAGGGGUCACAAACAGAGGAUUAGCAUGCAUGGGACGGGACAAGCGUAUUGGUUGCCGCUUGCUCCGACUACCGCCAGCGGCUACGGCUUGAAGUCUUGCCGGCCGUUGUCACCUACGUCGUGCUAUCCCCUCCUAACGAAUGAGGCGGUGGUUUUGGGUCAGACCAGGGCAGGAUCAUGUGUGCAAUUGGAAUGCGAGUGAUGUGUGCCAUGAAUAAUGGAGGCCAAUGUGAUGUGGCCCAACCUGGGUGACUUGGCUAUCCGGCGAGCUGCUCUGGUGCGAUCAUAUCGAGCUUGGUCGGUCGGGAGAAGCUAGGCGAUGCCUUUAGGCAUGCAGAAAAAUCAUCAGGAAAAAAUCCGUCUAUGUGGCAUGCCAGCUGGACCUUAUAAUUGGGACCCAUCGGCCAGAAAGCUCACAAAUUUUAAACAUGGUAAAUUAUGGAAAUAUGUUUGCUAAAUGGGGUAAAACAGAUGAAAUCCCGCUAAAUGGGUAAUUAGCGUAAAAAUGUUAAAAUAGGGGGUAAAAACCGGAAUUCACUCAUAAAACAUUGUAAUCCUCUAUAUUUUCUUGACCCUUGAAAAUUUGAGUUACUGGAGCGCUAGUAUUAUUAAACCGUCGGAGAGAGCAAAAGAAACUGAUCAAAAGCACAUCAACUAAAGGCUAAAUUGGAAUACAUGUGCAGCCACGAUCAACAUCUGAACCAUCUCCCAGCUACCUAACCGCAAGGGCGAAAGAAAUUUAAGCACACGUCUUCCAUCUACCUAGCCAUAACAACGGAAGAUAUUUAAGCACCUCUUCGAUCUACCUAGCCAUAUGAUGAUGAAAGAUAUUUAAGCACCUCUUCCAUCUACCUAGCGAUAUGAUGAUGAAAGACAUUUGCAUCUCAACCAUCUCCCAGCUACCUAGCCGCAAGGACGAGGUACAGGAAACGACUUCAACGGUGAUCUCUACAUGGUGGUUUCAUCUACCGACUCGAGUCAACUAUAGCUAAUACGCAUACUAUUGAAGCCAGAUACAUAAUAACUAACAAAAAGGAAAUCUGACCGCAGCCGGUUUUCACGUAUGAAUUGACUGGAAGACUUAAGAAUUCCGGUCAGUUCUUCUCACAAAAUUGAAUACUUAAGUAUUACCAUCGGUUUACGCUAAAACCGCAUAUGUUAGGCUGAUACAAUUUAUGUUUAGAGAGAACCCUGCAGAUUAAAAUUGACACCAAUUGAUUUUCAUCAAUCACAGGUCAACACAUGAUGCAUCACAAAUACACAUUCAAACUCAUGUCACAAUUGCAUUGUAUUUCAUGCCAAUGUACACAACAUUCCGUUCCUUGUUUCUCCGGAGGCCACAUUGGAGUAAACAAGUACAACGUGAGCGGCUUGUGUGUGUGUGUGCGCGCGCGCGUGUGAGCGGAUCGGGCCAAUGACAAGAAGUGAUCAAUCACAUUGAUAUCAUCGGUAAGGACAUAACUAGGCACCUCUUACAACUCCCCCUAUGCUUCUCCCUGAGAUCUUGCAGCAAAGGAAAGCACAUACCAGGCGCUCACGCAAUCAUUUACGAAAAUCUCAAAAGGCCUCCCAAGAUUCCAUAAUACUAGUUCUACUGCAACUAAAACCAAGAACAUAUCAAAAAAUAUUUGUUGAGGCCCAGUCUGACCAUGAGUUCUGCUACCACAAGGUGAUCGACCCACAACUCAUCUUCCUACUGCUCUACAUCCAGAUCGUGCCACCAUCAACUUCCCGUCCAUACCACAACUUUCUCAAGGUAAUAUCUCUGAAGUACACACAUACUUUUAUUUGAUCCACUUUCUAAAUAUGCUUGAGACUGCAUUUCAUUUUUUGGUUGGCUAAACAUGAGGUCGUCACCAUCGCUGCUGCCAUCCACACCCUUUUUAUCGACAAGGACGGAUUGUUUCUUUCACUCCAUUUUUUUGUUAAUUUGUGUGUUCUUAGAACUUUGCUAGAGUUGAUUCCUCUAAAUAGUAUUCGAAUAACAUACUGAACCAUGAACUGUAACUGAUGUCGGCAUAAGGAAUUAGGGGAUCAACAAUUUAUCAUGGAGAUAUAAGUAAAUUUGGAAGUGACCUUUGUUUCUCAAUCGAUAUGCGAUUUCAUCUAUGUAAGAAGAGUAGUAUGAGACAAUAGAUAUUUGUGUGUGCAAUUAAGCGUUAAGUUUUUUGGUUCUUCCAGCUCAGACUUCCAUUUUUGUCAGUGCAACAAAGAUCAAUUUUUGUCAGUACAGACAUGUUUCAAAGCGGUCUACUUGCCCGUUAUGUGGUGUGGAGGAGGAGAAUGAGUUCGAUGCCUUAAUCACAUGCGAUCAUGCGCGUACCCUAUGGACGCACAUGCGGGAAAGAUGGCCUCUCCCGUCGGAUACCGUUCUGAUCAAUACGGGCAAGGAGUGGCUCCUGAGUCUGCUCAUGCAAUGUUCAGAUCAGGUGCGCGACAUGGUGAUCAUGCUACUCUGGAGGAUAUGGCAGUUGCGGAAUGACUGUGCUCAUGGCAAGGAGGUGCCAGCUACGGCGGCAACUGUGGAGUACCUGGAUAGUUACUACAAAUCCAUUCGGCUCGCGAGUCGCUCUACCACAGAAGAAAUAAUAAAAGGUAAAAUGCCGGUCUCGGAGCAGAAGACCGUCACUAAUAUCAAGCAACCAGCGCCACCAUGGCCGGCUCCUAAGACGGGGACCGUCGCGCUCUCUGUUGAUGGGUCCUUCCGUUAGGAAGAUGGUUCAGCAGCAACCGGAAUUGUGUUGAGAGAUGGAUCAGGUACGGUGUUACUAGCGGCGUAUCGUUACAUGUUUUAUUGUAAUGAUGCAUUGGAGGUGGAGAUCCAUGCUAUCAUGCAGGGUAUGGCCUUGGCUAUUCAACACACAGUUCUUUUGGUGGUGGUGCAGUCGGACUCGGCGACUGCUCUGUCAGUAUUGGCAAACGAUGAGCUCACCAAAUCAGCAUAUGGACAUCUGGUACUGGAGAUUAAAGACUUGUUGAAGGAAAGGGAAUUUUCAACUCAGAAAUUACAUCGGAGUCAGAAUAGUGUUGCAGAUCGGUUGGCAAACUAUAGCCGCACCGAGAGAACCACGGCUGUGUGGGUUCAUUCGGUUCCACCAUGUAUUGAGGACAUUUGGCCUCUCGAUUGUAACACUGUGACUUUAUAAUAAAACUCUCUUUUACCCCGCAAAAAAAAACAGUUCUGUUGGCUUAAACAAAUUGGAAUUUUGCUUCCAAAGAUACUAGAAUAGGCAUCUGAAACAAUCCCAAUUUGCUUCCAUAUAAAUAAAAAAAAUCAGAUCUAGUCUAGUCAUGUAGGCAUAUGAUCUAGUGAUGGGCUGAUGGCAUGUCUCCUUAUGGUGGUUGUGAUUCCUUCGAUCGGUGUCCAUGCUUUCUGUCGAUGAUGCAAUGAUGGUCGUGCUUCCUUCCAAUGGUAGGCGUGCUUCCUUCCGAUGGUAGGCAUGCUUCCUUAUAGUGGUGGUCGUGCGUUCAAAACAAACAUUGAACUUGUAUACAAAAGCUAACUCAAACACUGAACUUUUAAUUCCUAAAAUCAGCACGUCAAACUCUCUGAUCCUGGUCAAUUUUGAAUCUUGAGGGCGUUCCCAAACAGGGAUUGUUAACGUAGCAGGACGAGCCCGGGAUUGUUUUUCUAGCAACCGGGGAUUGUUGGCUGCGGCUGACGGAGGGGGGCGCGGCGUGAAUCUGGGCCGGCCCACUAUUCCACAGGGAAGUAGCCGGUUUUUUUAAAUGUUCGUGUUUAUAAAACUUUGUUCAAUUUUUUUAAAAAUGUUCGUGUUUAUUUUUUCAUUUAUUAAAUUUUUUAUAUUUUUUCAAAUUCAUCGCAUUUAUGAAAACAAGGAAAAUUUAGAAAAAAAUAUUGUUAUAUAUAUAUAUAUAUGUACAAAUUUUCAAAAAAUGUUUGUCUUUUCAAUUUUUGUUCAUAUAUAUUAAAAAAAUCGGAAUUCUAAAAAAUGUUCGCGCAUUAAAACUUCGUUCAGAAUUUAAAAAUAAUGUUUUCUAUUUUUGGACCCAAAUUUUAAAAUGUUUGGUGUUUUAAAAAUAUGUUUAGAAUUUUCAAAUUCCGUUUGCAUUUUGUAACUGUUUGUGAUUUCAAGAACUAAUCAAAUUUGUCAAAAGAAGUUGGAAUUCUAAAAGUUUUUCAAAAGUUUUGAAAUUCAAGACAAAAUUUGGAAUUUCAUAAAUUAUUUGAGUUAAAAAAAUAUUCUCCAUUUCAAUAUUGCUUUGAAAAAUCAACUUUUUUUAAUGUUUUCAUAUACGAACGCUGAUGUGUGUUCUUAUAUACAUGGCAAGGCGAGUUGCCAGUUGCACGCCUUGAGUUUGACUCCUUGCAAGCUCGCUGGUUUUCUAGUAUUUUUUCACCACUCGUUAUAGAAGACAAGUGGCAUCACGUCGUUUAAAUAAAUGUUUAUUGUCCUAAGAAAAUGUACAACUUGUAUUUGGAAAAAUGUUAUUGUGUAUUCAAAAAUCUGUUGAAAACAUGUGAUUUUUCACAAAAUUUACAAAAUGUAUUUGAAAAAUGUCCAAAGUUUAUCACAAAAAUGUUUCCCGUGUAAAUUUUCUAGUAUUUACAAAAUAGUUUGUUACACUGAGAUCAAUUCCGACACAUGCUUCCUUCAGCUCAGAUUUUGAUCUUCAUUUUCGCCAACUAUUCUAGAAAGACCACAAAGCCGCUACAAAUGGCCUGCAAAGAAGCAAAACAAAAGCUUAUUAGGUACGUAAGGUGGAAAAUCUUUAGGGCGACGACACAACAUCUUUUGAAGCAAAACAAUGUGCACAAGUGUCUUUGUAGGCCCUCCUUAAGUUGUUACGGGCUUCUAAAUUCUAUAUUUUCUAACAUUCCAGUCUCACUGUUUUCUGAAACUCAAAACAAUUCAAGCACAAGAUAUCAACAUGUGAGUACAUGCAAGAGCACUGGAUGCAGGCAAGAGAAUAAUCAUGUAAAAAUAAAUCUACUGGUGGCCUGCUAAUCUCCCAGCUAAACUGCAACGAGUCCCGCUUCGGUACAACCCCCUUGCAAUAUGUAUAAAGGGUAGUAUAGACUUUUCACAAUCUGUAUCUACUUUUGUAGAAACGUAUACGCAGGGCAGCUUACUUGGGCCGGCUGAUUUGGGAUGGCAUGCGGUCAAAAAUAGCGAACAAGGAUCGCACGAGCUGGGAAUCGAACCCACGAUCACUUAAAACAUUAAGCGCGUCCAGAACCACUGCGAUAGGAUAAAUUUCGUGAGCGAUCUAAAGCUAGACACAUUAAGUAAUGGAUGGGCUGGGAAUUUUAAAAAGAUUUUAGAAAAAAUUGUGAACUGGUCUUUUUUCCAUGGUUUCUUUUUAUUUAUUUAUUUAUUUUCCUUUUCCUGUUAUGUUUCUUCUUUCUUUUUCAAAAAAAUGCCCGCGCUUUCAAAAUGUUGUUCAAAAUUUGAAAAGGUUUGUUAUUUCCAAAUUUUGUUCAUAAAUUUAAAAAUAUUAGCAUUUUCAGAAAUUGUAAAGUAAUUUCAAAAAAAUUGUGACUUUAUUUUUUUCAGAAUGUCAAAAUGCGAAUAAUUUUUUGAAAAGCACAAACAAUUUGUGAAAACAGACAUUUUCUGAGAGCAUGGAAAAAAAUUAAAUUCUAAAGCAUUUUUCAGAAAUGAGACUAAAUAAAUGAUAUCAAAAAAGUGUUCUAAAUUUGCCUAAACAUUUUUCCAGUUUGUGAACAAUUUUUUGAAAAUGAGAUUUAAAUUCUGAACAAAUUCCAAUAGUCGCCCAAUAGGACCGAUGUCGUCGCUUAGUUGGGAAAGGCCUAAGAUUUUCUUUUUGCCUUUCUAUUUUUUACGUUUUUUCUAUCUUUUUUUAAAAUUUGUCUUUCCUCCUUUUUAAACUUUAUUAUUUUUUGAAACCUAUUCAAAAAAUUUAAAUACUGGAAUAACCGUUUUAAGUAACUAUUUUAAUUAUGAUUUUAAAUUUUUUAUGUUCAAAUAUUUAUUAAAUGCAUAAACAAAUAUUUUUUGUUUUCAAUUCUAUGAUUUUGUAUUUGUUAGUUAUGUUAGAAACCUAAAAUGACAGUUUUAAGUAUCUACAUAAAAUAUGAUUAAAAUACAUUUUUCCUUCAAACCUGGCGUGGAUGACUACUCGGACACGCUACGUUGAACAUGGUGUUCUUUUGGACAUUCUUGAAAUGACCCCAACAUUUGCCAGCAGGUGGCAUGCCCAUGGUAGGAAUCCAUGCCCCCAAUAUUUUUUUCAGUGGGUUUGUAUGACCAAUUCAAGACACCAAUCCAAGUUGCUUGGGUUUUUGACAAGUUUUGCAUUUCUAAAGUUUUCUCUAUCAAAAAGGUCGAUAAAUAGCUAGAUGUGUCGCAACUUGCAUACGGUGUCGGAAGUAGUUCAAACCCGACAUGGAUGCCUACCACGGGCAUGUCCACCUAAUGGCAAAAGUUAUGGUAAUUUCAAGGAUGUCCACGAAAACACCAUGUUCAACGGAGGGUGUUUAGGUUGGCCAGAAGGGUAUGUCAGAGAGCACGUUGUUUUUCAACAUCUUUGAAAUGGCCCUAAAUUUUUUUCAUGGCCUCGUAUGACAAAUUCAAGGAACCAUGACAAGUUGUUUUGGUUUCCGACAAGUUUUGUAUUUUUUCUAGACUUUUCUCGAUAAGAAAAUGCAGAAAAAAGGCUGGAUGUGUCGCAACUUGCAUACUGUGUAGGAAAUUGUUCAAACCUGGCAUGGAUGCCUAUGAGGGGCAUGCCCACCUAGUGGAAAAAGAUGGGAUCAUUCCAAGGAUGUACAAAAAUAGACCAUGUUGAACGAAGUGUGUUCUGGGGCCAGAAGGCUCCGUCUGAGAGCAUGUUAUUUCUUGACAUCCUUGAAAUUACUCCAAUUUUUUUUCAAGGGCCUUGUAUGACCAAUUCAAGGCAUCAUGACAAGUUGUUUGCAUUUUCGACAAGUUUUGCAUUUCCUGUAGUUUUCUCGGUGAAAAAAUGACAAUUAAUGACAGAACAUGUCGCAACGUGCGUACGAUGUCGGAAGUCAUUCAGACCAGGCAUAGAUUCCUAACAUGGGCAUGCCCACUUGCUUCCAAAAGUUGGGGGCAUGUCUGAUAUUUCCAAAGAAAUACCAUGUUCAAUGGAGAGUGUUCGAAUAGGCCAGAAGGAUAUGUUUGGGAGCACCUAAUUUCUCGACAUUCCUUAAAUAACUCUAUUUUUUUCAUGGUCUUGUAUGACCAAUUCAAGGCACCAUGCCAAACUGUUUGACAUUUUGCCAAGUUUUGCAAAAAAAAUCAGUUUUCUCGGUGAAAAUAGCCGAUUAAUGUCAAAAUGUGUCAAAACGUGCAUACGGUGUCGGAAGUCAUUCAAAGCAGGCAUGGAUGCCUCAUAUGUCCAUGUCAAACUCUUACAAGAAGCUGGGAUCAUUUAUCCAUAGCCUAAAAUAUAUCAGUUAGAUGAGUGUAUUUAUAAUUCCCGUCAUUAUCACUCAACAUAAACAUUUUAUUUUUUCCUAACAAUUUCUUGAAAUUUGUCAAUAGUUUUGGAAUUUCAAAGUGUGUAUGAAAAUUUUACUAACUUGAGCACUUUUUCCCAAAAUUGUUAACAAACUACGAAAAACUGAUGAAAAGUUUGAACAAAUAUUGCAAACCACGUACUUUUUUAAAAAAAUCAUCAACUUUUUCGAAACGCAUACAUUUCUUAAAUUUGUGAAAAAAAUCGAAAAUUGGAACAUUUUAUGAAAUUCCAGAAUAGUUUUUAGAAUUUUAAACAAUAUUUGAAAAAAAGAACAUUUUAUUUAUGCAAAAAAAAUUCAAAUUUUUGAAAAAGUUUCACAAAGAAUAAUAAAGUUCAAAAGUAGAAAAAUGGAUUACCAAAAAGAGAAGAAAAACGAAAAUAAUUUCAACCAAAAAAUGCUUUGGCCCUAGAAAAUAAGAAAUGUUUUCAGAAAAUGUUAGUAUAUUAGAAAAAAUAUUUGCAAAUUUGUUUAUUGUGUGUUUUAGAACUGUUUGCAUUUUUAAAUGUUCAGAAAUUUAAAAAUUGUUCAUGCUUACAACAAAAUAUUCACAAAUUUGAUAAAUAUUUGUCUUUUCGAAAAAAUGUCUGCAGUUUCCGAAGAAUGUUGACAAUUCUGAAAACCUGUUCAUAGAAUGUGAAAAAUAUUCACAAAAUCAAAGUGUUUUUCAUAAAAGAGGAUCAAAAAUUUGAAGAAAAUUCACUUUUCCAAAAUAAGUUCAAAUUAUGAAUUUUUUUCGUAUCUUUAAAAAUAUUCAUUUUUUCAAAAAAUAUUCCAAAAGAUGAAAAACACAUUAGUUUUUUUAAGCUAUAAAAAACGCUUUUGAUAGAAUGUUCGCCUACAAUUCAUCCAUUCUUGGUGAUAAAGUACGGCGGUCCAUAAGUAUCAGCUAAGUACGUAUGAUGGUUCUGGUGGCUAUCAGCAAUUUCACAACCCCUAGAGAGGUCCUGUGUUCGAUGCCUAAUAGGCUCAUUAUUUUUUUGGAUUUUCGAUCAGUGCUACCGUACAUACUAACUAAUGGGCUGGCCCAAGAUGGACUCAAAACGUGAUAGAUCUCCUGUAUUUUCUAGAUAGACCAUUCUACCUUUUAUUAUGAAAGAGUAUGGACAGAUCUUGACCGUUGAUGUGUUCAUCACAACAACUCACGUUUAAGGAUCAAAGAAUGAAAGAACUAAACCGAAGAGACAAGUAGAACCAAGAGCAAUGAUAUAUGUAUGCAUUUUCACAAGGAUCCACCAAUUCCAUACAGGAAUAGCACACGACAGAUCAAAAUCCACAAUCCAUAUUAAGGAAAGCAAACUAAAUAGAACCUCCUCGACCCACCGAGCUACACAAUCCAUAUUAAAGAACUGACCCUCAAGAUCAUGUUCCAUAUAGUAGGAAUUGGAUAGUUUUGAUAUAAAUGUAUUUCUUUUGGGAAAAGUCUAAAAAAAACCUUGUCUUCGUACUCCCAGUCUGACUUCAAUUCCCUGAAGUUAGCACCCUGUGUUAUCUGAUCCCAGCUUAUCCCGGCUGUUUAGUGCUGAAAGCUUGUUUGUGCGUAGGGAUUGCUGACGUGGGACAGAUUAGGGGGUAAUCAGAUGCUACGCUGGACUGACUGCAGGCCCAUCUCGAUUUUCAUUUAAGUGGCAGCGACAGGAACGAAGUUGGGUCGGGAAUAAAAUCAGGGUUCAUCAGUCAGCGGGAGACGGGAGCCGCUGCGAGUAGGGGAGCCGCGUGGGCACAGCAGCCAACGUUGUCGCCGUCCCGUCCUCCCGUGCGUCGUACUCAGGCGGAGGCCGCGGGCGGAGGGCACCAUCAAGGCGGCGGCGGCGGCGGCAGUGCGUGUAGCAGAGACGGCUCCAUGCUGUAAGAAGAAGGCUUCGUGUUGGAUUUCUUGGAGUGACUAUAAGCCUGGAAGAAGAUACUACUGCUAUGUAUAUGGAUUUGUAAGCUUGCAAUUUUUUGGUUCCCUUCGUUUCUAAAUUGAUGCUAUGAACUGUUGAAUCAGAGAGAUGGAUGUGGAUUGUUUUGAGUGACAUGACGAUCCCUACUCCCAGUUUCUUCGACAAGUACUAGUUGAUCUUGGGGGUGCAAUGAGGAGGCUAGAAUCUGUAGGUUCAGAUGGUCUUCAGCCAUGGGUGAAAAAGGGGCAGAGAAAUGGAGCAGAGGAGGCACUGAGACAAGAACUGCGGGCGAAAAAUGCAGAAAUUCAAGCAUUGAGGGCAAGAUGCAAUAGUUAGGAGAGAAAUGCAGUAUGUAAUAGUGUGUUCUGUGUCAUGAUCAUGCUAGUGGCAAGUUUAUUUGCAGGAUUUAUGCUACAUUAGUAGCUAGACUAGAGGAUGAAUGUAAUGGAAAAUGAUGUAAUGGUCGGAUAAGUGAAUUCUAUGGUACUGAUUUUACUGCCUAUGUGAUAUUUGUUCUUUCUAUUCAUGUGCAAGUUGACAAGCUACACAAGAUAUAAAUUUGCAUUUGAGAGCUCUGCCAUGUAUCACUCCUCUGUUUCUUUCCAAGAUAGAGAUGACAGGAGAUUUAACAAUACUACUGUCACUUAAAAAGCAGAGAGUUUGCAAUGGCAUUUCAGACCAAUUUGGCACAUAAAGCAGUCAAAUAGCAAACAGAAAGCAGCUGGACUAUUUAGAUCAAAAUCACAACCAUCAGUUUGACAUAACAGAGACAUAACAAUUUAAACCAGCAGUACAUAACCAUCAGCUCAAUAGUAGUUAUAACAUUUGCAUCAUGAGAUGUCUUUUAACAUACUAAUAUGAUCUAAAAAGCACUAGAUCACUUCUUUGAUUUAUUUUUUCUUGGCUUGCACAUGAUCAGUUCUUUGAUUUUUUCUUGGCUUGCGCAUUCUGUUUUUUGGUAGCCUUCCUCUUCCCUCCACUUAUUCCUGCUUGGGCUUGUUCUUUUCCUUUGCUUUGAGCCAUGUGGCUUGCUCUGAUCUGAGCAUCAGUUUUAGCUUGCUGGUGAAAGAAAUGAAAGUGCAUAAGUAUGUGAAGCAAUGCAGGAGUAAUUACUAAAAUGAAAAUUCAUUACAAAUAAUGGAAUGCAUGCACAGGUAUGUACUUCAGAGGCUUUGAUUUUCCUCCCAGAUUUCUUUAGGAAUGCAUUCUUUUUCUUCCCCUUUUCAGGAUUUUUGUUGCAACCUGUCUUAUUGUGUCCUUUGUGGCCACACAAGCUACAGGUAAUCUGAAUGCCAUGCUUUGACAACUUUCUGCCUUUUGGUGCUUCUCCCUCCUCCCUCCUCCUGUCAUUUUUCCUGGGUCUACCUGGCAUGCUCACAUAACCUGGAGCUUGUGGUCUUGGUUUCUCAGAAACAGGCCACCUUUCCUGACCUUCAACUGGCUCCAAGCAGUGCUCAUAUAUUUUCUUGAACUGUUGAACUGAAUAACACUUGUGAAUGAAUUCUUCUAUAGUUCUACCACUCUUGUAUAUGGCACCGAUAGCAUGACAGCAAGGUAGCCCUGCCAGCUGCAAGUAACCACAAGAGCAUGUCCUCUUAUCCAAAUUGACAGUGUAGCUCCUCCCUCUACCACUGACAUGUUUUACCUCAAAGCCUUCUUUUACAUUCCAGAGAACAUCACAAAAUUGUGUCAAUUUGAUAUUCACCUUUAGCUUUUUGAAGAUGUUUGGGCAAAUUGGACUAGAAUUCCACUUCUCAGAUUUUGUCCUAUUUUCUUGAACUCUUUGUGUAACUUUGUGCCUAACCUUUUCCAACAUAGAGAUGACAGGAUAGAAUCUGGCCUCAAUGAUUGCAUUGUUAAAAGAUUCACAUAAGUUAUUGUCCACCGAGUCACAAAGAGAUCCAAUAGGGAAAAAAGCUCUGGCCCAAUGCUUAGGCUCUGUUCUCAUUAUAUCCCUUGCUCCUUCAGGUGUGUCCUGAGCUAACUUAGCUUUUCUGUACAUGAAGUCUUCUCUGUUUGCAGCCUUUGCAAUUGCCCAAAACUUCUUUUGUAGAGCAUGCUCUCUGUAUUUCUUUCUCCAAUUAGCAUAGAUGUGUCUAGCACACAUUCUAUGUUGUGCCUUUGGUAGAUAAUCUUGCAUGCUACUGACCAAACCCUAUCAAAUAAUUAAAUGGGAUAAUCAGUACUAGUGGACUAGGUUAUGCAUCUGUCGUCGAGGCGACGAAACCUAUCAAAUAAAACAUGCUACAAAGAUGAUAAUUAACAACAUGACCAUAGUAAACUUGAUAAUUUAUACCUUUUGUUGAUCUGAAAUGAACACCCAGCAAUCUCCUUGAUCAUUUAUAUCCAAGUCCUUGAUCAGAAGGCCAAUAAACUACUCCCAGCUUUGAGUUGUUUCUUGCUCCACUAUUGCCCAAGCUACUGGGUAUAUUUGGUUGUUAGCAUCUCUUCCAAUUGCACAAAGUAGUUCACCUUGACACGCCCCUUUGAAGAAACAACCAUCAAGCCCAAUAACCCUUCUACAUGCUUUAAAACCUUUUUUCAUAGCACUGAAACACACAUAGAACCUUUGAAAGAUGUUUUGGUCCAUAUAUGUAGGGUCCAAACCAACAAGUAUGGUACUACCAGGAUUGCUCUUGAGAAGUUCUAGCUGAUAGUCAAAGACCUUGGUGUGUUCCUCUUUCAUCCCUUCUAAUAGCUUCUCUGACAAAGACAGUUUGUCUCUCUCUAUCACUGACAUUGCCUCAUCUCCCCCAACAUAGUCCAAAUUAGGACCAAUACGAACAAAUUGUCCACCGACAUGAAACCGCACAUUCAAUAUAUCGCUUGGAUCCAUGAAGGCAGCACAAAAACCCCUGCAUCACCACACAAAUUUGGCAAAAAUCAACAGCUCAUACAACUCAUUGGAACUAAAUGCAGGAAUAAAUCUAUGUAUUCUGCAAAAACAAAAACAAAAACACAAACUGAACCCUAAACAGAGCAAAUCAGUUUGAAAUAAAAAAAUAGCUCCUACAAGUGAUCUGAACUAGAUGCAAGAUCAAAUCCAUCUUUUUCUCACAAAAAAAUGCCCUAGAAACCUGAACCAUUCCUACCUGAAAACCCUAAAAACAGAGCAAAUCUUCAGCGUCUGAUACGAUUACAAGAAUACAGGGAAGAGAGGGCAGGGGAUUACCGGCGUUUUCCCCAGCCGCUGCGAUCUUCUUGCUGUCCCCGAGAUCAACCGUCGAUCGCCAUUGCCGCCUAGAGGAAGGGGAGGCGUUGAGGGCGAGCCAAGGGAGGGAGGGAGCAGUUUCGUGCUGAGGUUUAAGAGCGGGAGUGGAUUGGGCCCAUNNNNNNNNNNNNNNNNNNNNNNNNNNNNNNNNNNNNNNNNNNNNNNNNNNNNNNNNNNNNNNNNNNNNNNNNNNNNNNNNNNNNNNNNNNNNNNNNNNNNNNNNNNNNNNNNNNNNNNNNNNNNNNNNNNNNNNNNNNNNNNNNNNNNNNNNNNNNNNNNNNNNNNNNNNNNNNNNNNNNNNNNNNNNNNNNNNNNNNNNNNNNNNNNNNNNNNNNNNNNNNNNNNNNNNNNNNNNNNNNNNNNNNNNNCUGCCACAUAUGCAAUGCCGCUGAAAACAAACGCAAGAAGGGCCGGGAUAAGCUGGGAUCAGAUAACACAGGGUGCUAAUUUCAGGGAAUUGAAGGACAGGGUUCUUUUCAGACUAGGAGUACAAAGACAAGGUUUUUUUUAGACUUUUCCCAUUUCUUUUUGGUUUUUGUAAAAUACAAGCCGUCCAGACAACAAACGCACGUGAGGGGAAUCGAUCUGGUUUGCGACAACCACCUAUCCUGGCUGCUUUGCUAUCGCUUCAAGUAACGAUCGAUGAUGGGCAGCAGCCAGCACAAUUUUGCCAAUAUGCAUGCUAUGGGUCUGUGUAAGUUGCAUAGCUAGAGAGGUCGCACGCAUACCUCAGAAGAGAGUUUGAUUAUAGGUGAUGAAUGAUAAUCCCUGCUUUUUCUACCGCCGACUAAAUUUGAUUGUAAGUUGCAUAGCUAGAGAGGUCGCACGCAUGCAAUUUUGCCAAUAUGCAUGCUAAGUUUGAUUAUAGGUUAUAAUCGGUCGACUGGGAUUUCUGUAAUUCACAAUCACACAGACCGAGAACCAGCAAAGCCCCAAGAAUGCUUGCACAGUUUAAGUUCCAAAUUCAUCAAAGACAAAUUGUUUUCUAGUAACAGGAUAAUCUUGUUGUCUUGUCUUUGUAGCUACACCAACCCCGUCCGAGUCUUCAUCAAGCCUUAACUAAUUUAUUAUCAACCAAACGUGGCAGAUGGAUCAAUAUGUAGUCCAUUUCAACAAGUUAUGAGGGUGGACAUGGUCAUGUGCAGUGCAGUGAUGAAGAGGAUAGGGACGACGAAAAUUCUUCGCAAGAGGCGUGCAUGGGCACUCCCCAUGUGCAAUCAUGAAGAGGAUGCAUGACAGGCGAAGCUUCUUCUGGCCAGCCGCCGCGCUCCAGAAUUCAACGGCCAAGACUAGUGCAGGCUUAAAUUGUUCCAUAAAACGGCGGCACUCGGCGCCUCGGCUCAUUCAUCCAACCAUGUCCACGCUGAGAGCGCGGUGUGCGACGGCCAUCCUGGCCGUCGUCCUGGCGGCGGCCGCGGUCGCGCCGGCCACGGCCGAGCAGUGCGGCUCGCAAGCCGGCGGCGCCAGGUGCGCCGACUGCCUGUGCUGCAGCCAGUUCGGGUUCUGCGGCACCACCUCCGACUACUGCGGCCCCCGCUGCCAGAGCCAGUGCACUGGCUGCGGCGGCGGCGGCGGCGGGGUGGCCUCCAUCGUGUCCAGGGACCUCUUCGAGCGGUUCCUGCUCCAUCGCAACGACGCGGCGUGCCUGGCCCGCGGGUUCUACACGUACGACGCCUUCUUGGCCGCCGCCGGCGCGUUCCCGGCCUUCGGCACCACCGGAGACCUGGACACGCGGAAGCGGGAGGUGGCCGCCUUCUUCGGCCAGACCUCUCACGAGACCACCGGCGGGUGGCCCACCGCGCCCGACGGCCCCUUCUCAUGGGGCUACUGCUUCAAGCAGGAGCGGGGCUCGCCACCGAGCUACUGCGACCAGAGCGCCGACUGGCCGUGCGCACCCGGCAAGCAGUACUAUGGCCGCGGCCCCAUCCAGCUCACCCAGUAAGCAGCCACAAAACUCAAAAUUUUCUGAGCUUUAACCACAUGUUCACGAAAAAUUACCAACAUCUGUGAUAGUACCGUAACCGUAAUUAGAUCAAUGAUAAAGUAUAUUUUCAUAUGAAAUUGUUUGCAUUUGGUUAAAAAAUUUUGAAAAAUGUAGUGUCUUUGUUGGCCUGAUUUUGUUUCAUGCUGGAUUGAUCCAGCAACUACAACUACGGACCAGCGGGCCGUGCGAUCGGGGUGGACCUGCUGAACAAUCCGGACCUGGUGGCCACGGACCCGACGGUGGCGUUCAAGACGGCGAUAUGGUUCUGGAUGACGACGCAGUCCAACAAGCCGUCGUGCCAUGACGUGAUCACGGGGCUGUGGACUCCGACGGCCAGGGAUAGCGCGGCCGGACGGGUGCCCGGGUAUGGUGUCAUCACCAACGUCAUCAACGGCGGGAUCGAAUGCGGCAAGGGGCAGAACGACAAGGUGGCCGAUCGGAUCGGGUUCUACAAGCGCUAUUGCGACAUCUUUGGCAUCGGCUACGGGAAUAACCUCGACUGCUACAACCAAUUGUCGUUCAACAUUGGGCUCGCGGCACAGUGAGAUAGUACGACUAUUAUGGGUCCUCGAUCUAUGCAUGUGUGGAUGUGAUCACACAUAAAUAAACAAUCUUGGGAAGUACUUUACCAAGAUUUGUUUACGGAAUUUGCUGCUCGUUUGCUGCGUGCAGGUAGGAGGAGAGGUGAUCAUGCGUGCAGAGAGGAACGUAUUCCUUCGCGAACCAAGGGGCAGAUAGAUUCGCGUUGUGUGCAUCUUAUGUUAAUUCAGUCCAACUCGAUUUUUUGUGUGGAUUAUUGAAGUCAGGCUAACUAUUACUCCAACACUCUUAUAUUUCUUUAGGAGGGAGCACAAAUCAUCAGCAUCUAGCUGCAAUGUGCCCUGCUGGACCACACACCACCACCUCUUCAUCUCCAAGCUCUCCUCUUCGUCGAUCCAGGAGCAGUAGACAGCGGCGGAGCCAGGGAAAUCGGAUGAGGACGGCAAGUUUUAUUAGGAUUUGUUGCUAUCUUGUAUAGAAUUGUCGUUUUUGUUUUUAUUUAGUAUCUGCUAUAUCUAUUUAUUUAUUUUAUAAACUUGUUCGGUGAGCGAUGCUAAGCUUCAAAGACUGCAUGGUAUUGCUGGCUUGAGACGUGCCAUGAUGAAUAUCGAAUAUACUCCCUCCAUCUAAUAAUAUAAGAUCGUUCUUCAAGCUAUGCCAUCGAGAGGUGUUCACCUAGCAUGUGUGCAGAGUUUAUUAAGGAGCUAUGUUGCUUAGUGGAGGAUUCGCAAAAAAAAAAAGCUGCUUAAUUAAGGGUGGUGUCAGAAGUUGACCUUGUUUGCAGUAACUAGGAAUUUGAUCGAGCAGAGGUUAAGCAAGUAGUACCAGAGACUGACAAUGCUCACCAAGUGACAUAUUCUAGCAAGCAGGGUUGGAAUAUGCUAAGUUGUUGUCUGAACGGACCUUGCAUUAACCUCGCCGCCUUUUUUCUUCCUGCAGAAUUGAACUUCUUAAACUUAGUCAUCCUGACAUGACACAACACAACACAACAUCAUCACUACAACAGAUGGACGGAAAAUGCACUUGGAGGCAGACUUCAGAGACACUGAAUUUGAUGAUCAAAGGCAGGACAUGACAAAAGAACAGAAAAGGUUCAGCCUUGACAAUUGUCUGAAUAUCAUGAUCAGAGGCAGAUUCAGUUCCACGACAUCACAAGAACAAAAAAAGAGUUUCCUUCUCUCUUGUUCCGUCAGAAUUGUACACACUAUCACACAAGAACAGUGUUUCAAACUAAUUUCACCUCUUCUUCAGAGCAUCCCUGAAGAAACAGCUCCUACUGCCAUUUCUUUCUGCAGAAACUUACUACUGCCAACCUGAAAAGACACAACAUCUAACAGAUAGAUAGAUAGAUAGAUAGAUAGAUAGAUAGAUAGAUGCAAAUUGGAUUCACGCACGAAUACAAGAACUUUCUUUCGACCAACUUACUUAUGUCUGACUCAAAUUUUAUCAAAGGGCAGUUUCAGCUCCAAAACAUCACAGAAGAACACAAAUGUUUCAGACACAAACCCUUCUCAGUAAAUGGCUACAUAGGCUAUCAGGUAAAGAACGGCGGGACCAUCUGGUCCGUCUCACCGCCUGUUCUGUUCGCGGCCGGCGAGGUGGUUCGCCUUGGCCUGGCCUAGUGGCUAGCGGUGUCCCGAAGCGUCUACCUGGACCGCAAAGUGUGUGUAGAGGCCAAGCUCCAUUGAGCUCGUUAUUUUUUCAGCGAAAAUACCUUUUUCACAUCUCAAAGAAAUCUGAUUAAAGGGUUUCAUGUAGACAUAUAUUUGUAGUAUACAUGUAUAAAAUUUCAUGAACAUAUAUACAUAAAAAAGACAAAUGCACAGAUAAAAAUUGGCUUUUUCUUUGUUGUAUUUGGUUUAGAUAUUUGUCUUUUUUGUGUGGCAUGCAAAUAAUCAAAUUUAUACAUAAUUGAAGAAUACGUGCAUAUGCAUUUGUGAAAAUAAUAACAUUUUUAAAACUUUAAAUAUAUUUUGAUUUUUCUUUUGCAGAACGAGCUCCAUGGAGCCCGGCCUUUUGGCGACCAAAGGCACGGGCCAACGUGCGUGGGGAGUCUGGCAAUGUUAGAUGGCCUGGCCCAAUUCCGCGUUGUUGUUUUUUUCUCGGUCGUCCGCAUGUUUCUUUUUCUCUGCUUCGUAUGUCUCGGUCUCCACGUUGUUCAAUAAAAUAAAAUUAAUAUUUUCAAAUAAAAGAAUGAAAUAAGAUAAUUUUUUAAGAAAUCAUGAAAUGCUCACAGAUUUUAAAAAUAUUCAUGAUUUAAAAAAAUGUUGGUACAUCUCAAAAUGUUCGUGACGUUCAUCAAUUUCAACAAAAAACACGAAUUAGUGUUCAUGAAAAUUUAAAAACACGAAUUAGUGUUCAUGAAAAUUUAGAAAAAAAAAAUUCAAAAAGCAGAAAGGAUGUACACGAAUUUCAAAAAUUGUUCCCAAAUUUUAAAAAAACUUCACUGGUUCAAAAAAUGUUUGCAGAUCCAAAAAUUGUUCAUGAAUUCGAAAAACAAAGAGUGCUCGUGAUUUUCAAAAGAUGAACCCAAAUUUAAAAAAUUCUAAUGUCAUGUGAAUGUUCUGGUUUGUACUGCUCUAGAUCUAAAAAAGAAAAACUCAGUUCUCUCAAAUUUCUCUGAGGACAGUUCGUCAGUUCAGGCAAACAUACAGAACACUGCAAGUUUGAUGAAGGGUGGCACUGGCAGGUUAAGAAUUAUUAGACGUUUUGAAAUGUGCGGAGAUGAGUGAACAAAUGCAUCGGAUUCAGAAAGAAGUUUGAUCCAUCUUGUAAUCUCACAGAGCAACUCAACAAAGCACGUUUUAGUAUCACAGAAGAACACAAAUGUUUCAGACUCUCUUUUUUCUCCAGAAUUCGAGCAGACAGGGAACAAACCGACUCUGCCAUGGACAAGUCCAGACCAUCAUCAUCGGCUUGGCCGGCAAAUGACUUUUACUUCAGAGACUCUUGAAUUUGAUCAUGGCCAAGCAAUCUCACAGUAACAAUGAAUUUGAUCAGAGGCAGGCAGAAGAAGAGUUUCAGGCUCGUCUCUGAAUUCAUUCAGUUCAAAGCAAGAAGACAGACAAGUCAAGUUUCAGACUCAACUCUUCUUUUUUCUCUUCAGAGUUGGACCCGACAGGGAACAAACUCCCUCACUUCUCACAUCUCAUAUCAUACAUCGCCAGAAGACACAUAGUGACACUGAUAUAUUUGACCCAAGAGUCAAACAAGAACGACACCGACACUACCAGACUAACUUCGACUGGACACGCAGCGACCAACAACCACUAGAACUCACUCACCCAUGGACGCACACGACACUGCUCAUCUUCUUCUCCUCCUGGUUGGAAUGAAAUGAGAUUCUUCAAGAGAUUCAGUCCACCUCCUCCAUCUUGCUCUCCUCGGCACCCUCCUCCUCCAGCGCCGCCAUGUCGGCGUCCUCCUCCUCCGCGCCAUCGGCGGAAUCGUCGAUGUUGAGCCCGAGCUUGAGCAUGCGGUGGAUCCUGGCGGCGAAGGUGUUGGGGUCGUCCAGGCUGAACCCGGAGGUGAGCAGCGCCGUCUCGAACAGCAGCAUCACCAGGUCCUUGACGGACUUGUCGUUCCUGUCGGCGUCGGCGCGCUUGCGGAGCUCCUCCAUGAUGCCGUUCUCCGGGUUGAUCUCCAUCGUCUUCUUGCUCGACAUGUAGGCGCCCAUGCUGCUGUCCCGCAGGGCCUGCGCCUUCAUGAUCCGCUCCAUGUUGGCCGUCCACCCGUACUCGCCGGUCACCAGGCAGCACGGCGAGUCCACGAUGCGGUCGGAUACAACGACCUUCUCCACCUUGUCGCCGAGGAUGUCCUUGAUGGUCUUGCAGAGGCCCUCGAACGCCGCCUUCUUCUCCUCCCUGCGCUUCUUUUCUUCUUCGGUUUCUUCGUCGAGCUUGAGGCCCUCCUUGGUGGCGGACACCAGCUUCUUGCCGUCGUACUCCUUGAGCUGCCCCACGGCGUACUCGUCGAUGGCGUCCACCAUGAAGAGCACCUCGUAGCCGCGCCUCUUGAGGCGCUCCAGGAAGGGCGAGUUCUCCACGGCCUUGCGGCUCUCGCCGGUGAUGUAGUAGAUGUCCUUCUGCCCCUCCUUCAUCCGGGUGACGUAGUCCUUGAGGCUGGUGAGCUCGUCGCCGCUCUUUGUCGAGUGGUAGCGGAGCAGGUCGGCGAGCUUGGCGCGGUUCUGCGAGUCCUCAUGCACGCCCAGCUUGAGGUUCUUGGAGAAGGCCUCGUAGAACUUUGCGUAGUCCUCCUUGUUCUCUGCGAUCUCGAAGAAGAGCUCGAUGCACUUCUUGACGAGGUUCUUGCGGAUGACCUUGAGGAUCUUGUUCUGCUGCAGCGUCUCGCGGGAGAUGUUGAGGGGGAGGUCGUCCGAGUCGACGACGCCCUUGACGAAGCCCAGCCACUCCGGGAUGAGCUCCUCGCAGUUGUCCAUGAUGAAGACGCGGCGCACGUAGAGCUUGAUGUUGUUCAUCUUCUUGCGGGUGUCGAAGAGGUCGAAGGGCGCGCGGCGGGGCACGAAGAGCACCGCCUUGAACUCCAGCUGCCCCUCCACCGAGAAGUGCUUCACGGCGAGGUGAUCCUCCCAGUCGUUGGUGAUGCUCUUGUAGAAGGACGCGUACUCCUCCUUGCUGAUCUCCUCCGGCUUGCGCAGCCAGAUGGGCUUCUGCUUGUUGAUCUGCGCCCACUCGUGGCUCACCUCCUUCACCUUCUUCGUCUUCUUCUUGUCCUUGUUCUCGGAGUCGUCGUCGACCUCCUCGACCUCGCCCUCCUUCUUUUCUGCAGAAUCAUCGUCUUCGUCGUCGCUGAUCUCCUUCUCGGUGGUCUUCUCGGUCCAGAGGUAGAUGGGGUAGCUGAUGAACUCCGAGUGCUUCUUGACGAGGUCCUUGAGGCGGCGCUCCUCCAGGUACUCGAGCUGGUCGUCCUUGAGGAAGAGCGUGAUCUUGGUGCCGCGGCCGAGCCGCUCGCCCUCCGUGUCGAGGGUGACGGUGAAGGAGCCUCCCGCCUGCGACUCCCACACAUACUGCUCGUCGUCGUUGUGCUUGGUGGUGACCACCACUUUCUCGGCGAC
rnacentral:lncRNA from 1 species